rnacentral:lncRNA from 1 species
UCAUUCUAAGAGAUGGGGUCUCACACACAAAACCUCUCUUUUCUUAUCCUCCUUCUCCUAGGCUUCCUUGCUGUCUCAUUCGCUUGCGAAUGUAGCCCUCCUAAACCAUCUCCGAGACCCCACAAACCGCCUAAACAUCCCGUCAAACCGCCUAAACCACCAGCAGCCAAACCACCAAAACCACCGGCAGUAAAACCUCCUAAACCCCCCACCAAACCUCCCACCCUUAAACCACACCCCCACCCUAAACCUCCCACCGUUAGACCACAUCCACACCCUAAGCCCCCUACCAAACCUCAUCCCAUCCCAAAACCGCCCACCGUUAAACCACCACCCUCCACACCCAAACCGCCCACAAAACCACCCACCGUUAAACCACCUCCAUCCACCCCUAAGCCGCCCACCAAACCACCCACCGUCAAACCACCACCCUCCACCCCAAAACCGCCCACCAAGCCACCCACCGUCAAACCACCUCCGUCCACCCCUAAACCACCUACCCACAAGCCACCAACAGUGUGCCCACCGCCAACACCAACACCAACCCCACCUGUUGUAACGCCACCAACACCACCAACACCAACUCCACCAGUCGUUACGCCACCAACACCAGCCCCACCUGUUGUAACGCCACCAACACCAACACCACCGGUCGUAACGCCACCGACACCAACCCCUCCUGUCGUAACACCUCCAACACCACCGGUCGUAACGCCACCGACACCAACUCCUCCUGUCGUAACACCACCAACACCACCGGUCGUAACGCCACCGACACCAACCCCUCCUGUCGUAACACCUCCAACACCACCGGUCGUAACGCCACCGACACCAACCCCUCCUGUCGUAACACCACCAACACCAACUCCACCUAAGCCAGAAACGUGCCCAAUCGACACGUUGAAGCUAGGCGCUUGUGUAGACGUUCUUGGAGGUUUAAUUCACAUCGGGCUUGGUGGAAGUAGCGCCAAGAAAGAGUGUUGUCCGGUUUUGGGAGGCUUAGUUGACUUAGACGCAGCUGUUUGUCUAUGUACCACCAUCAAAGCCAAACUUCUCAUCGUCGACCUUAUUAUCCCCAUUGCUCUUGAGCUUCUUAUCGACUGUGGAAAGACUCCGCCACCUGGCUUCAAAUGUCCCUCUUGAUGAAUGAAGUGUCUCUCUAUCGUGUUUUUCUUUCUUUCUUUCAAGAAUUUGUUAGUUUGAUAAUCUCUUGGGUGAGGUUAAUUUGCGUGUGUGAGACCUUUAAUCACUUGUUUUGUUGUACAAUAAAAGGCUAUGUUUGGGUUUUGUUGAUGUAAUUCUAAGAAGAAGAAAUAAAAAAUGUAAAACGGUAUAAUUAUCUUUCAACAAAAACAAGUUAAUAUUUCAUAUCUGUGUACGCUUAUUUUGUUUUUUUAUGUACAUAUAUACGUACGUAGUCACUUGUGGAGUAGCAGAAAUGUGGAUUUUAUAGCCAUGCAAAUUGCACUGACGCACAUGUGAUAUGCGCCCCCAUAGCGUGGCUACUGUGUACUGACCAAAUACAUGUGUAUAAAUAUAGUUACAUACAAGUAUAUAUAUGCUAACAAAUAUAUCAUACUUUCUCCAAAAAUUGAUAGCUAAGAUAGCUCUUAACAAAUUAUGUCUCAGUCACACAGAUGAUUACGACAUUUGAUUUGUGGAUUAAGAAUUCGAAGAAAGUAACUUUUUUAAAUUGUAGAGCUUGCUUAUUCUUCCGCGUCUAAUAUACUCAGAGAUAGUGAAAUAAAAAUCAUACAUAAUAAAGUCAAUAUAUUGCAAAUGUACAGUUGAUAAAUCUCAUAUAAUACAGAAAAUAACAGUAUAUAUCUAAUUGAAGAAUCAUUGCAAGAGAAAAAGUUGGAUAUCAUUAAUAAUUAUAGAACAUAUGGAAUCUCAUCCAAAGAAACAGACGAUAUCAAAGAACAAUAUAUUGCAAAUUAUUUUGGAAUUGAUUCUGGAAUGAAAGAAACAAGUUCUUAAAUAUGUUGGCGAAUAAGGUUUCAGUAUCUUUAACCGUAGGACCGCGAAAAUCCUGAUUGAAAAUCACGAAACAUAAGUCGAUAUUAACGGUAAGAUAAAGAUAGAAAACAUUUAAGAAAUCUUUUAGGAAAUAGACGAAUUCACAGAGUCGAGAUCUGAUAUCUUUCUUUAACUCAAUAAAUCGUCCGUAUUGUAUGACAGUUUGAAUGCGAUCUAUGAUCCGUCUAUGACGGUUCCCAAAUCCAACUCGCGGAUCAUCUCCUCUAGAUCCGUCCCGAUUAUAUGUUUGCUAGUUGACAUAGUUCAUGUUAAUGAACUGAAAAUCUGAAUGGGGUAGCAAUUUUUAGCCUAGGAAAUGAAGGAAUAUGAAUAAACCAUGGUUGUUCUAGUCAGCUAGCUAUAAUAAAAUAGUAUAUCUAAGCUAACUAUAAUAAAAAGGAAUAUAGUUAAUCUUAUUAGCCUAUAUUAUGGCUAGUCCAAUUAAAAACAAUUUGACUAUGAUUUUUAGUUUUACAUGAUCGAAAAUUAAACCGUUUAAUUCAAACCAUAGAAACUAGAUGUUGAUUGUUUAUAGUUUUUAAAAUGGUUUUUGGAUUUUUUUUUGAAAAACUACUUUAUUUGCCAAUCAAGAUUUUGCUAAAAAUGAUUUUCUAAAAUCUAGAGAAACUAGUUUUUCAAAUAACUACCUAAUUCUACACAAAAACCAAAAUCAGUGUUUUUUAAGAUUUCUGGCAGUUUCCUACGGAUGAUUUUUUUUAUCAUGCAUUUUUAUUUAUUAUUUUCUUUUAAUGGUUUUUUUCAUUUUUUUUUUGUAACUGGUCUUUCUUUUCAUAUUUGCCUCAUUCUCACUCUCAUAAGGUUUUCACCAUCACAUCGUCAAUACAUUUGCCUCAUUUCAUCUCGCCACUCAAAAAUAUUUGAUCAUACUUGUAAAUUAGAAGAAGUUCUCUUACUGCUAAACUAAAAGAAGUUCAAAAAUAUUUCAAAAGGAAAUUUUAUUUUAAAAGUCACUAUUUUAAUUAAUUGCUAUAGUAAUUAUUUAUACAAAAAUAAUCAUAGAAAUAUAUGUGUAAAAAUUAUUUUAGAAAAAAUAUCAAAGGUAUGAUAUUAAUAUUUUUUAUAAUGCUUAAUUACUUGUAUAAUAGCAUUUGAGAUCAAAUAUAAAAGGCAUUCAAGAUAAAAAAUAUAUAUAUAUAUAUAUAUAUAUUUAUAUGGAAUUUACGAUAGUUUUAUUUUGUAAUUAUAUUUUUUUUAAAAUAAUUUUUGUAAAUAAAUUUAUGUGUAUUUUAAUGACAGUGUUUUAUAUUUUAUUAUUUUCAGAAUAAAUAUUAUCUAUUCAUAAUAUUUUUUAUUUUAUUAAUUUUAAAAAUAAAAAUCAAAACCAAAAAUUAAAAACCAAAAUCUAAAACAACCAUUCAUGUUUUUCAAAAAAACCAAAAUUUACUGCAAAAUCAAAAACCAAAAAUCAAAAAAAAAAAUCAAAAACCAAAAUCUAAAAACUAAAAACCAAAAUCCAAAAACUAGAAUCUAAAAAUUAGAAAAACAAUCAUCACCUAAAUUAAGGGAUCAGAAGUUAGUGUUUUUUUAAUUACUUUUAAAGAAGUUAAGGGACCGGAAAUUAAGGUUUUACUAUUUUUAGAUAUGUUGCUGCUAUAUAGUACAAACCUUCCUCUGCAAAAUCUUGCAGAUUUCUUUGAUUCUAUAAUAAUUAGAUGUGCUGAAUAUGAUUCAUUAACAUUUUUUAUAUAGUACUAGUGGUUUGCAAGUGCUUUGCAUUUCCUUUUUUUAAUUGUUUGAAUAUUUGUUUAUAUAUCAAUGUGAUCUAUUUUAAUUUUUUUGUGGUACAUUUGUUCUCACAUUGUUUCAUUUUAGUUAUUGUAAUUCAUUAGCAUUGUAUUUAUUUUAUUAACGGAAGCACAACCUCAUCGUCUUGUUUGAUUGACCAUUUUUCUCAACAAGGAAGUUGAAAUGAGAAUAAUGUGUAUUUUCAAGUAUUUUAAAUUUUAUUUAUACUCUCUUUAAUUCUUCUUUAUGUAAUUUUAUAUUGAAUUGUAUUUUUUUUAGAAGUAUUUUACAUUUGAUUUAUACUCUCUUUCAUUCUUCUUUAUGUGAAAAUGAAAAUUUUGGAAUGAAAAUGAAAAUUUUGAAUGAUGGAUUGCUAAUUGUGUUUAAUAAGAAGUCAUAAGAAGUCGAAUUGUAAUUACAAUUUGUUUCUUAUUUUUCAAAGUUGUAAGAUAACAUCAUUUCAAUGAAGAGAUGUUUACGUUCUUGUUGAUACAAACUUGAAUCUUGUAAAUUUCCUAGUGAGAUUAAUUUAGUGAACUGUAAUUAUCUAUUGCUCUUUCUUUAAAGUCACUCUUUUGUAGUUUUCACUCUUUUGAUUUAACAGUUGAGCCCGAGGAGAGUCAUUGCCGUUACUGUAAAACUCUUCACGGCAAGAAGAAUAAUGCUUCGUAUUCAAGUAAUGAAUUGAAACAUAAAUAAGAAUAAAACAAACUUUAUGCUUUCAACAACUAUGCAUAUGCGAAAAGAUCUCUCUCUCGGCUUUGCAGAUUCCUACUGAAAAACACACUUCCAGGAUUACUCAAAUCACACAUUGCAAAAUCUCAAUUCAAAGUACCUUCAGAUAAAAUUCUAGUUUCAUCGCCAUUGUUAAUUAAACAUCAAACUAAACAUGAGAGAUUAAAAACAGAGAACUAACAAGAUAGAUGGGAGGAGAUAUAAUAAUAGCACCAAGCAGAGAUGAGACAACUCGGACAUAGUUUUGUGCUCAGGAAGAUUCAGCAGCAGGUUGAGUCACACCAUGCUUGAGCAACAGCUUGGUAAGCGAGUCAGGAGAGUGAACAUGGUACUUAACACUCCCCGACGGAGUCAAAAACACCUCAGCAAGCUCAAGCUUCUCAGAUGUCAAGCUCGUGCUGUCCAUAGUCUUGCUCAGAACCUUCAAGGCGAGCUCGACCGCCUCUUCUCUAGUUGCAUCCUCCUUGUAGUCUUGUUUCAGAAUAGACUGAGCCGCCUGGUUGUUCGCUCCCACAGCUGCAGCUUUCCACCCACCGUAGUUCCCACUCGGAUCACUCAUAUACAGCUGAAACCCAUGGUUCUUAUCCCACCCGGCAAAGAGAAAGGACACUCCAAAGGGACGAAGACCACCGAACUGGGUGUACCCUUGCUUGGUGUCGCAGAGAGACUGAACCAGCUGCUCAACAGGCAUAGGCUCCUGGUACAUGAAGGUGUAGCGCUGGGCUUGGACACGAGCCGUGUUGAUGAGGAUGUUUGCGUCGGACAUGAUGCCGGCGACGGCGCAGGCCACGUGGUCGUCGAUCUUGUACAUCUUCUCGGAGGAGGUGGAGGUUUGGAGAAGCUUGGAGGUGACUUUCUUCUCGCCGAUCAGAACGACGCCGUCUUUGGAUAAGAUACCGAUGGCGGAGCCGGCGUUGCCGAUGGCUUCCAUUGCGUACUCGACUUGGUAGAGACGCCCUUCUGGGGAGAAGAUUGUCGUGCGGCUAUCGUAUCUUCGAGACAUGUUUUUGACUUUUGAGAGAGAGCUUCGCCAAAUACAAGAAAAGGUUUAUUACAUUGAGAUCGAGAAAACGAAAUCAAAUCAAGAUUGUGAAAAUUUCACUAUUGGGUGGGUCUCUAAGAGAAGAGAAGCCAAGACGCCUAUGUAAGAUAAUUACAUCAACCAGAUUCGCAACCUAGCUCUAGGACUUAUCUAAUUCUAUAGAAAUUCGUACAAAACUACUACGAGAAACUAAUCGAGAAAAUAAAAACGGAAUGGAAUGGAUACAGUUUACCUGAAAGGACUUUGAUUUUGAUCUCUUUUUCGCUGAGAAUUUGCUCGAGACCAAAGAUGUGUGUGAACUUGUUGAGAGAAGACAGAAGAGAGAAGGAACCUAAAAACACUUUCUGUAUCGGGCCUUUAUUUUUUUCAAAACAUGCACCUAUGGGAUAUAGUGAAAGCCCAAAUUAUAAAACUAAGCCCAGUAUAAGAUCAAAUCAACUACCAACCGUUUCUGUUCUUGACAUCAUUUUUAUUCUUUUCUUUUUAUAUAACUCAACUUUCAUAUAUCGAGAGAACUUUAAAUAAUUUAGUACAUUAAAAAAAUUAAAACUAUUUAGGGAACGCAUGGUUUAGAGAUAAAUCUAUCUAUCUAUCUAUACUAAUAAAGGAAACUUUUCUUCUUUAUCAUGCUGUCACGUCAGUAUUUUUAUAGGGGCAAUUUGUGACACAUGUCCUUUCUUUUUUACGUGAACAGCGUGAGUUUUUUCUAAACUUUUUGGCCUACUGAUUUUUCUUUUGUUUUGUGGGCUCUUACUAGCUGGCCCAUUUUCUUUAGGGUUUCUAGCUCCUGCGAUCAGGAUUCGGCUCCUCCUCUGGCUCUUCGUCUCUUAGAAACUCAGAGGAGAGCCCUUGUAAGUUCUAACGUCGUCCGUUUCUUCCUUUAGUCUCAUCAUUUAUUGAUUACCCACUCAUCCCACUUUCUCUGAAUUAAACAUUAUCAUUAUCAUCCCGCCUGAGACUCUUCUUCACUAUAAAACGGUCCUAAUAUGCUUUUCUUGGAUGAGAGCGAGCUCUGUCUUCGUUUUUAUAGAUUCUUACAUAGAUUACGAGUCCUCUCUUGGAAUUCGAUUACGUUUUCUCCCCACGAAGACUAUGUCUUUGGCUUUAUUUCUAUCUAAGUCAUAUGGAGUUUGCAUCUCCGACGAGGUAACGCUUUUACUUUUCCGCCAUAGACCACCAUAUGUGCACCUUCGACGAGGUUACAAUUAUAUUUCAGUUAGCAGCUCACUAUUUGCUCAGCCAUUCAUCUUCUCUGCCUUUGUACAUUUGAAACUGAAAAGUGGAUAGAUUUUAAUUAUUUUAUUAGAUUCAAUAAAUUUAUAUUUGCGCUUUAUAUCAUACCUUUUAUGAUUAUUUGAAAACAAAUCAGCCGCACAGUUUUUUAAGUUGUUUUUACAAAUAUUUUUGCGAUUUUUAAUUUUAUUUAGUUAUUAAUUUUUUGUUGUGAUUUUCAAGGAAUUUCUUAUUGGUUUUCUUAAUUUGAGUUUUAUGACCAUUAAAUGGAGAAAAAUCCAUGAGAUACAUCACUUAAUAAAUGGAUUCCUCUACUUUUUUGUAUGUAUGAAACCUUUUAUUUUUUUCUAAAAAUUUAUUUAUUUUAAUUUAUAUUAUGUAUUUUACUAAUUUUAUUGUUUUAUGUUUUUAUAUUGUAUAUUUAUUUUCCUAACUGAUCGUCUAAAAUCUUUGUUUUGAUAAUGUAUAAUCAUUGAUUGUGGUUCCAUUGUUUUAUUUCUUAUUAACUUAUCAUAGCUUUAGCUUUUGAUUUAGAGGUUGUCUUUGUACAUUUGAAACUGAAAAGUGGAUAGAUUUUAAUUAUUUUAUUAGAUUCAAUAAAUUUAUAUUUGCGCUUUAUAUCAUACCUUUUAUGAUUAUUUGAAAACAAAUCAGCCGCACAGUUUUUUAAGUUGUUUUUACAAAUAUUUUUGCGAUUUUUAAUUUUAUUUAGUUAUUAAUUUUUUGUUGUGAUUUUCAAGGAAUUUAGUGAAAGCCCAAAUUAUAAAACUAAGCCCAAUAUAAGAUCAAAUCAACUACCAACCGUUUCUGUUCUUCACAUCAUUUUUAUUCUUUUCUUUUUAUAUAACUCAACUUUCAUAUAUCGAGAGAGCUUUAAAUAAUUUAGUACAUUAAAAAAUUAAAACUAUUUAGGGAACACAUGGUUUAGAGAUAAAUCUAUCUAUCUAUCUAUACUAAUAAAGAAAACUUUUCUUGCCACGUCAGUAUUUUCAUAUGGGCAAUUUGUGACACAUGUCCUUUCUUUUUUACGUGAACAGCGUGAGUUUUUUCUAAACUUUUUGGCCUACUGAUUUUUCUUUUGUUUUGUGGGCUCUUAGAGCAUCAUUAUCUUAGAGACCCAUUUCUUAUUUUUUUUUAGUACUUUUUUAUUGUAAAAGUGAAUUAAGAGACUGGAAGAAGAGACUCUAAAAUUUAAGUGCUCCAUUGCAAGUCUCUUAUUUAAAGGUUCUUAAAAAAAAGUUUUUGUUAAUUAAACACCAAAUUUUUGAUUUUUCUUAUUAAACUUAAACUUUUUCUUAAGUAAUACUAAGUUUCAUUUAUACAAGUUUCUAAGACAUGUGAAUACUAGUACUUACAAAAACAUACAAGUUUCUAAAGGAACAUAAAAGAACGUACCAAGUGGAGAAGACAAGCUCGAAGUCUCCUCACACAAGCAGCCCGCGACCACACUGCUCAGGUACCUUCCCCCCAAAAAUAAGGCAACUGAACUCCAAUGGCUCAAUUAGUGUCUCUUAUGCUUUCAAUGAUCCUGAUUGUGCGCUUGGUGGGAGACGUCUUGCUCAGCGGGUUAGGUAUGUUGCAGCUUUAACAGACUAAUGAGUUGUAUUAACAAGUGAAAAAGAAAGCAAAUGUUUGUUCAUUGUGAGAGUAGAUAACAUACCAAUAUUGGAAAGCAAAUGUUUGUUCAGGAGCAAUUCCCCUAUAAAAGAGAGAGCGGGACACAUCAUACAGCCAUUAUUGGAAAGGAAGCUAAGGGAAAAGAGUAUAAAUUGCAAUGCACAGAACACACAAGACCUUAAACCAAUGCAUAGUGAACAAAAAUGCAUACGCUGAGGCUUAUACCAACUCAAUUCACACAAUUCUAAUCACUUCAACAAUUCUCUCGAACUUAACUUUAUCUCAUUUUGACUCCCAUUUGAUGCAAAUACCAAUGCACAGAGAACAUACAUGACCUUGAAGCAAUGCUAUUGAACAAGUAGAAAAAGCAAGCAACCAAGAAAGGUUCAAAAAACCAUAUUCACCUCAGCUAUUUAAACAGUACCAGCUUGCUCAAAGAGCAUAGCCAAGGCUAACCGAGAUCAUCUUCUUCGUCGAGAGAUGCUUUUUCAUCGUCGUUCAAAUCAACCACCUCUAGAGCUCCAUUGUCAUUCUCUAAAGCCUCCAGCCUAGCUAUAGCAGCCUAGAAUCAACCAAACACAAAUGAAGUCUCAUUGCCAAGGAAAAAAAAAAAUCAAAAAGUGAUUUCGAAAAUCAGACAACACACCUGGGUUCGAUUGUCGGUGCUUGUAAGAGCUGCCGCCAUCUUCGUAGCAACCUUACGGGUACGGCUCGAGACUCUACGGUUCGCCAUGUCUCCAUACCACUUAGGACGAUUCAGUGUACCGGCGACGGUGGACCGAUGCGCUCACGUCUCCGCUUUCGUCCCCGUCUUGCUGAGCCCAAUCCAAAGUCUGGGCGACCGAGGAGACUUGGAUUCGAAACCUACGGAUUUCACAAGUCGGGAGAGAGAUAGAGAUGAGAGUGGGAAGAAGUUCUGGAGAAGGUGAAAAGGGAGGAAGAGGAAUCACAAGAGACGUCUCUUCUCGUCCCUGAUUAAGAGACGUCUUUAGGUUUAUUGAUAUUUUUCAUUUUUUUUUAAUCCUGAUAAAUGUAAGAGACCCUCUUAAAAGACCGGGAUAAUGGUGCUCUUACUACCUGGCCCAUCUUCUUUAGGGUUUCUAGCUCCUGCGAUCAGGAUUCGGCUCCUCCUCCUGGCUCUUCGUCUCUUAGAAACUCAGAGGAGAGCCUCUGUAAGCUCUAACGUCGUCUGUUUCUUCCUUUAGUCUCAUCAUUUAUUUAUUACCCACUCAUCCCACUUUUUCUGAAUUAAACAUCAUCAUUAUCAUCCCGCCUGAGACUCUUCUUCACUAUAAAACGGUCCCUUCUCUGCGAUGAAUAGUCAUAGUUAUACGGGAUCCCUAAUAUGCUUUUCUUGGAUGAGAGCGAGCUCUGUCUUCGUUGUUAUAGAUUCUUACAUAGAUUACGAGUCCUCUCUUGGAAUUCGAUUAUGUUUUCUCCCCACGAAGACUAUGUCUUUGGCUUUAUUUCUAUCUAAGUCAUAUGGAGUUUGCAUCUCCAACGAGGUAACGCUUUUACUUUUCCGCCAUAGACCACCAGGUUACAAUUAUAUUUCAGUUAGCAGCUCACUAUUUGCUCAGCCAUUCAUCUUCUCUGCCUUCAUUAUAAAUUUUAUUCAGUAUAUAUAUUCAUCCGUAGGGCGUCUUAGCCACAGCUCAUCAUUUUGCAGUCUACCUUUCUAACCAUUAAAUCAUUAGUUCUAGAUUUUUUUUUUGCAAUUCAGAGUCCUAGAUUUUCAUGUCCUGCAAAUUCCAAUUGUUUAUUAUACUCCUGUGAAAAAUGAGACUGUUGAUUGUUUUGAACAAAAGCUUCGCAAAUAAAGUUUCAAUCUUUAUCCUUUUUCUCUCCUUAGUACUAUCGAUAUGGCUUUUUCUCCAAAUUAGUAAAAUGAUGCUAAAUGGUCACGGUAGCGGUUGAUGCAUCUUUUUUUUUGUUUUAUUAAGGCUUUGUUUAAUUAGACUUCAUGAUGAUUUGUGUUUGGACUUGAGGAAAGAAUCAUUCACAUGUGCGUGACUGCCCAAAGUUAUGUUAUGUAUCUAAGCAUACAUAUAAUAUUUUUCCCUCAAAGCUUGGUUUGUUUCCGUCACAUCAUAAUCUUCCUGUCCCAUUUCUUCGUUGAACAACUCUUCUAUCUAAGUCAUAUGGAUCUCGCGUCUCUAUCUACUUUGAGAGUCAUAGAUUGAUAUAUAUAUUAUAUUAACUUUGUAUUCCAUCCUCUUGAAUGAAGUUACCUUAUACAGUGAUACUUGUCUUCUCUUCAUUUUUGGUCUCAGUUUCUUUUUCCGUGAAUCAACUUGAUAUAAAUUUUUCCUUUACACAUGUAGAUUGGUUUUCUGACUGGUGCUUGAAGAUAUAGCUCUGGUGUAUUGAAUUCUCUUUAUGCAAGAUUUACUCUCUUAAAAGGAUAGCAGGUAAUUAAUUAUUUAGGUUUCAAGUAUUCUUAGUUGUUAAAUCUUUUAACUGUUUUUUGUGUUGUAGCUUUAAAGGCGUUUUCGUUGCAUUUUUAAGAUGAAAGAUUUUUCAAUUUUCAGACAAAGGUCAUGCGGUUGGAAACUCGGUAGAGAGUUGCAAAGAUGAGUCUAAGUCUCAAAACUGUUUUGAGUAGAAGUGAGAAGAUGCAGAGCCAAGGUCCCGGAAAAUAGGAAGAAGAUAACAAUGUCUUAAAUCUUUUAACUGUUUUUUGUGUUGUAGCUUUAAAGGCGUUUUCGUUGCAUUUUUAAGAUGAAAGAUUUUUCAAUUUUCAGACAAAAGUCAUGCGGUUGGAAACUCGGUAGAGCCAAGGUCCCGGAAAAUAGGAAGAAGAUAACAAUGUCUGUGAGCUGUUCUAUGAUACAAGAACCAGUGAGGACUUGGCAAAAUAAAAUGAUGGAAACCAUUCUUGUGGAGUUCUGAUUGAGACUGGAAAGAAGCUACGAUUUUAUAACAUCAAUGCUAAUAGCUGUUCUCCGGAGAUAGUUUUGUGUCGUUUUAUAUGGACAAGCAUGUUAUAAGGAGAACACUUAUCAUGUUGUGAAAGGACAUGUGUCGAUGAAGAUGUGACAAUUCAGGAGAAGUUCAAUAUUCGUUGAGAAAGAUUCUGUGUAUUAUGCCUUUUUUGGGAUUUGUAAUAUAAAGCAAACAUAUUCUUUGAUUAUUUUAUUUCAUUUAAUUAUGUAAUCUGUAUAUGUUUAACAAAGUUUUUGAUGUUACUAUGUAAUAAAAACUGAGAAGGGAACGUUUGAUGAGAUAUGAGUUAUAGGCUUUCAUUCAAUACAAAUCCAACACAAAUGUUGCAUGAUAGAUUCACUAUCGAUUAAAAGAAAUGCAAAUUUCAGUGAACAUGUAUAUCGGUUUGGUUCAUCUUGAUUUCUAGAUUAUUAGUGGUUACAUCUUAUAUAUUAAAACAGAAGUCACAACCUUGAUUCAUGUGUGAUUUUUUUAAAAAAUGGACCUAAUGAACCUAUUCAUAGAAAUUCAUACUAUAUUUUAAUUCAGACUAAUAAUAAAUAUAAUUUUUAAAAUAUUUUAAUCAUAGUAUCCUUUGAUAUCUUUUCAUUUUAAAUAAAAAUAUAUUUAAUUUAAAAUUCUAACAAAUCUGUUUAAAAAGAUUUCUACUAGAUCUUCAUUUUUGAAAUUAUAUUUAAAUAUUUUCACUAAUUUCGAAAUUAGUUUAAAAUAUUAUUAUACAUUAAUAUAUUCAGUUAUAUAAAAUGAAAAAUAAAAAAAUCUAUAAUAUUUUAGUUAUUAUAUAAUCAUAAUCAAUCAUAUUAUAUUAAAAUUAUUAUAUUGAGCUAAAUAUAAUAAAAUUGUAUUAAAUUAUUAAAUUUAUAUAUUUAUAUAUUUUAUUUUCGUAAUUAUAAAAUAUUUAUGUUCAAAAAUAAAAUCUAAUAUGUUGGUAAGAUGGGUUAACAUUAUCAAACUAUAUAAUACAUGUAUAAAAAUUAACAUGUAUUUCUUUAAAGUUAAUAAUAUAAAAUCUUUGUAACUACUUUAAUCAUAAUAUAUUUUCAUUUUAAAUAUAAUAUAUAUUUAUAUAUUAUAUUUUAAAAAUUCUAAUAAAUCUGUGUAAUAUUUAAACAAUAACUUAAUGUAUUUUAAGUUAUCGUUUAGAAAUGAAAAUAAAUAAAUUAUAUCCUAUUUUAUCUACUUUUAUAGUCAUGAUCAUGUUAAAAUAUAAUUAUUAUACUAAAUAAAUAUGAUAAAAUUAUAUUCAAUUGAUAAAUUUAUAAAUUUUAUUUUCAUAAAUAUAAACUAUUUAUUUAAAAUAUAAUAUGAUGAUAGAACGACUUAAAAUUAACAAACUAUAUAAUACAUGUCUAAAAAUUAACAUAUCUUAUACUUUUAUAUAUACAAUAAUAAAUUAUCUAAAAUGAAUAAGCAUAAAAAUAUUGAUAAAAAGAAAUCCAGUUUUGAAAUACGGGUCAGAAUUUAGCAUAAAAUAAAUACAAAAUAUUUUUUAAAUAUAUUUUCUCAUGAAUAUAUUAAUUUGCUUAAUAACUAAAUGCAAAUACAAUAAGAUAAAUAUAUAAUAAGAAGUGGCAAAUACAUAAGGUUUAAACAAUUAAUUAAUUAUAACAUGUAAAUUAUAAAAUUAUUGUAUUUGAAAUAGUUAUAUAAAUAUUUAAGUAUAUGAUUAACAUUAAAAAUAUAUACCACUUAUGUUCUAAAACAAUAAUUUAUGUAUAGAAAAGUGAAAACAAACACCCGUGCGGUUGCACGGGUCAAAAAUCUAGUUAUAUUUAAGUUUCUUUCGUUUAGUUGCGUUACCGUUUGGCUCAUAUUAAUUUUUUGAUUAAAUUAUUUGAUAUAAAGUGAUAUGUAACUAAACUAAGAAAAAAACUUCCAACAAAUAAUUUGUUACUAUUAAACAGUUUGACUCCCACAAGAAAGCUUUCUUGACAGAUUACUGAAGUCCACUAAAGAUGAGAUUUUACAUCUAAGUUUUAAACUUUUUUUUUAAUUUUCUAAGUAGCAAGAAGUUCUACAUAUGUAAUGAUUAGUAGAGAUUGGUUUAUCACAAUGCAUGUGGAUUUUGUUGCCCAUCAAAUGGAUUGUAACUCCUACCUUAUUAUUUUAAUAUUUCACAUGCUACAUUGGACAUGCAGCUUUCAACAUCUUGAACCAAACUCUUUAACAGAAAAUUAAGGAACAAUACAACUCGCAUUCAACAUCUUGAAUCACACUUGUUCACAGAAAAUUAAAGUAACAGUACAACUCUACUAAAUUUAAAGGUACACAUCUUCACCAAGAUUUUCUUAAAAUUGAACAUACACUCACAUGUGAGUAAACCCUAGAUUCAUUUAUGUUCUUAUUUCCUCUAUAUAUACACAAGAGUUGUAACAAAUCUAAACACAUUCUAUUAUUUAUUUCUCUACUACAAUAUGGAAACAUUUAGUGUUGAGGACAAGAGGCAAUGUUGGGAGAAGUUGCAGCACUUUAAUAAUAGAAAACCAAAAUUAUGGAGAGAAGACAAGAAUGAAAAUUUGGUGGCUAACAUAAAGAAAGGCCAUGGAGAUGUGACUCUGGUAUACACCGGAGAUAAUCCUGAUGUAACAUUCACUCUAGGAAAUUGCAAAAUGUUGUCCGGAGCUACAUUUUGUGAGAGAGAACAAACAAAAUUUGAGCAAAAUGAAAAAAUUAUUCUUCUAUGAAAAGACUCUUUAUAAUUCUACUGAUACAAAAUCAAGUGUUUCUUCUUCGAAAAACAGGGACGGACCAAGAAAAAAAGGUAACUAAUGUUGUUGGGCAAGAGACUCAUGUUUGUUGGCCAAGAACUUUGCCUAUCCUCGUUUGAAAAAAUCUUAUAUGUAGUAUUGUAUUAAUUAAAUUUGCCUUUUGUAGUAGAUAUUGUAUUGUAUUAAAUUUGCUUAUGUUAGUGGAGAUUGUAUAAAUUUCGUAAAGUUUGCUGGCUGCUUGCAAUUCUAGUAACUUUAAAAGUAUUGUAUAAAGUUGUAAUAUUUUAGUAAGUUUGCUAUAAUUCUACAUUCAAUCUAACUAAGUUCAUAGUAUUGUACACUCAACCAAACUCAAAGCACAAAACUUUAUCCCUCGAGGUUCUAGUAUUUUAGUGAUUAAGAAAUACAUCUUGGAUUUAGAAAUUUUUGAUAAAUUCAUUUAUUUUAAAAUCAAACAAGUAAAUUUCAGAAUCAAAGAUACAUAUUUCAAAAUCAAAAUAAGUUGAUUAUUAUAAAUCGGUCAAAUGGAUAUACAAUAAGUUCAAAUUUGUAACAAAAUAAAAAUAUAAAAAAAUGCAAAAUGUACUUUUUAUUAUGCUUUUAGUUUGGAUUUUGAAGUGUUUGCACUUAUGUAAUUUUUCUUAAUAUGUAAUAGAGAUUAUAUAAAAAUUAUGAUGGACACAUAUGAAAGUGGAAAAUACUAGUUAGGAAAUGGUACAAUGUAUAUAAAUUAUUCAAAAUCUUCAUUAUGUUUGUGUAGUGUUUAAAUUUUUUGGAGCUCCCACGUGUUUGAUUGAGAGUAGCUAUGAUUCUUCUCUCCACUUUGAAUUUUCUGAAUGGGCCAUUGCUAUCACACACAGCUGCAACAACACAAUCUAAGAGUAGAUUUAUCAAAGUUUUAUUUUCUUGAGGACUCCAUUGAACACAUGAACUUUUUACGUGUUCUUGUGGUUUUUGUUGUGAUUCUUCCAUGCUUUUAGUUUGGAGUUGUACGUGUUUGUACUUGUGUAUUUUUUUCUUAAUAUGUAAUAGAGAUCCUCCUAUACAUUAAAAGAGAAGUCACUUUAGUGAUUUUUGCUGACAUGACAUUAAUAUAGAAUUUCUCAGAAAAAUUGUUAUAAUUCUAUUGGUCGAUUUUUUUGAAUUUUAUUUUUCAUUUAUUUUAAUAAAUCAUUUAUGUAGACAAGCCCAAAACUAUUGUCGAUUUCGUUAAGCCCAUAUAUAGCUAGGGGAUAAUAAUUAUCUAUUUAGUUUAGCCUUGGGCAAGAUUAAGAACUAAUACAAAUAUUAAAAACUUUCCUUAUUAUUCAAACAGUAAACUUGCGCAUGUUGAUAUCAUAUUAAUUACAUUUGGUUAGAAAAUAUUUUAAUAUUUCUAAUUAGUAGGGGUGAGCGUUCGGGUACCCGUUCGGGUUCGGAUCGGGUAUUUUGAAUUUUCGAGUAUUUUGGUAUAGAUGUGUAGAACCCGUUCGGGUAUUUCUGUACUACGGGUCGGGUUCGGGUAUUUUUAGUUCGGAUUCGUUUAUUACAGAUCGGGUUCGGAUAUUUAGAUUUCGAAAAAAAAAAAUUAAAAUUUUCAUUUCUCAAGUUUCUUAUAUUUAAAAAUAUAACUUUCAGUUAACUAAUUUUUUUAUUUUUAAUAGAUUGAAUGGUUAAUAGAUUUGGACAUAAAAAUUUAAAACUAAAAAGGCAAUAAUUUAGUUAUUUUUUAAAAAAAAUUGGAUAUAACUUUUUGUUAAUUUUUUAAAUAAAAAACUUGACAUGCAUUUUCGGAUCGGAUUCGGGUGCCACUUCGGAUAUCGGGUAAAGUGCCCACUCCUACUAAUUAGGUUGUUUGUUUUUAAUAACUUACCUUUCUAAUAUGGAUUACUUGCGCAAGUUAAAAUCAUUAAAUAUGCAAAUCACUUAUUCACAAUAUGGAUUACUUGCGCAAGUUGAAAUCAUUAAAUAUUAUCGAUUUAGUUUACUUUUGGGCAAGAUUUAGAAUUAAGACAAAUAUUAAAAACUUUCCUUAUUAUUCAAACGGUAAACUUGCGCAUGUUGAUAUCAUAUUUAUUACAUUGCUUAUAAAAUAUUUUAAUGUUUCUAAUUAGGUUGUUUGUUUUUAAUAACUUACCUUUCUAAUAUGUAUUACUUGCGCAAGUUAAAAUCAUAUCAUAUGCAAAUCAUUUUUUGACAAUACACAUUUAAUAUCUUUCUUUAAACGAUUUCAUUAUUUAUUUUGCAAAAUAUUGUGCGUCAUUAAUAUGAGAAAUAAAUCGACUGUAUAUAUAUAGGAGACACCCAAGAUCUUAAAAUACAAACAUUCUCUUUUCAUUCUUUAAAGUAUUAUUCACAAAUCUUCCUCUCAUACUAUUAAGGUAUUACGAUGAUGCUGCUUGUGUGCUAAGAAAAAUGUGUUUAGACGCAAAGGCUCCUCAUCUUUCAUCGACUCUGCCACCUACUUUGCCUUGGAAGUUCAAUAAACAUGUACAGCCUAAUAAAGGACUAACCCGCCAAGGCAAUGGGAACUCAGAAGAGCUACGUUGUGUCAUUGCUGUUAUUCGAUAGUAUGUUUUCUUAGCAUAUAAAUCACCUUUAUCUCCUCUAUACUUCUAUCUGUUAAAAUUUUGUUAUUACAUGAUAGUGGCGAUCGAACUCCAAAACAGAAGGUGAAACUAAAUGUUACAGAGGAGAAACUGUUAAACCUGAUGCUGAAGUACAAUGGUGGAAAGCCAAGAGCUGAGGUGCGAGAGGCUCCAGCUUUUCUGUCAUCCAUCUUUUAUCAGAGCCUUGAUUCAUUUUAUAUUUUUUUUUUCUUUUUGUAGACAAAACUAAAAAGUGCAGUCCAGUUGCAAGACCUAUUAGAUGCAACAAGAAUGUUAGUUCCCCGUACAAGGUAGAACCAUGAACUCAACUCUUUGUGUCUUGUCUCCAAAAAGCAUGUCUGAUCUAUCUCUUCCAUGUGUUGAAUACUGGUAACGACAAUAUGGUCUUCCUUUUUUUAUAUGUAGACUAGGUCGUGAGAGUGAUAGUGAUCCAGAAGACCUUGAACAUGCUGAGAAGCUUCGCCAAGUUAAAGCAGUUAUUGAAGAGGUUCUUUAGUACUUUCUCUUUUUUUGUUGAAUAUAGUCCGGGGAAAGUAUUACAUAGUAUCAUUUAGUAAUACUAUCUUAUAUCAUUUUUUUUUGUUGAAUAUACUAUCUGAUAAGUAAGCUAGCAUUAUGCAUUUUUUAUUUAAUUCAUGAGGUCAUUUUCAAAGCAGUCAAAAAAUCUAGAAAAUUAAUAAUCGAACCAGCUACCUUUUUUUAUUAGACCGGAUAUUAGUUCCACCAAUAAUCGUGGUCAACUUACCAACGUGGUGCAUAUAUGUCAAAUUGACAAAUCUACGUUUAAGUAACCCAACCUGUAAGGGAUUUAGAUUUUUUUUGUGAAUCUCGUGGACUGAUCUAUCGCAGAUUGGGGUUCAUAGGUGAAGUUUCAAGAAAUUGUUAUAAUUUGAUUGGUCGAUUGUUCUUAAUUUUUAUUUAUUUAAUUUAGAUUUAAAAUUUUAAGAUAAGUCUAAAAUCAUUUAACAUCACUUGUCAUAUAAUCUAACGAAUAUUACAAAUAACAAUUUAUGGAAACUAAUUUUCGAAAUUAUGGAAAGAUUAUUAAUGUUUUGUUUAUUACUUUUAAUAUUUAUAAACUAUAAAAUACAAUGAACGGAAUUUUAUAGAAGAUAAUUAUAAUAGUUUUAUACUCAACUUGAUGAAUUGUGUUCGAAUAUAUUUAUAUAAUAACUAUUUUAAGUAUUACAAAAUCCAAAAAUAUUUAUUAAUAUUAUUUUUAAAUUAUUUAUCGUAGUUUAAAGAAUAAAUUUAUCAUAAUUUUAAAAUAAUUUAUAAAAUGCUUACAAAAUGCAAGGCAAAGUUGCACUUUCAAGAGUUAAGUCGAGAUCUUGAUUAAAAAUCCUAAUAACUGGUAAAGAAGGGAAGCCGCAGACAAAAAUAUUGAAUGUUGUCUACAAAGAAGUUUUUCAGAAUAUUUCGUAGUCACAGUACGUAAUUUUAAUCUACUUUUUUUUUCAAAUACAAAUUUUAAAAUAAAUAAACUGUUGCGAUUAUUUAUUUUUUAUAUUUGCUAGAUGGGUUGUGAUGAGUUAGGAGACCGAUGACGGUACGGACCGAGAAAGAACACAGGGUGCGGACCGGUCAUGUUUUUAUGCCCGCACAGGAUGCGGACCGGUUACCUAGUUAUAUAUAAAUUAUGAUAUACACAUACAAUAGAAAGUGGAAUAGUUAGGAAAUUGUACAUUGUAUAUAAAUUAUUCAAAACUUCAUUCUGUUUGUGUAGUGGUUAAAUGUUUUGGAGCUCCUAUUUGUUUGAUUGAGAGUAGCUAUGAUUCUUUUCUCCACUGUAAAUUUGCUGAAUAGGCCAUUGCUAUCACGCACAGCUGCAACAACACAAUCUAAUAGUAGAGCUAUCAAAGUUUUAUUUUCUUGAGGACUCCAUUGAACAUAUGCCUAUUCCACGUUCGUGUGGUUUUUGUUGUGAUUUUUUUCUUGUUUUUAGUUUGGAGUUAUACGUGUUUGUCCUUGUGUAAUUUUUCUUAAUAUGUAGUAGAGAUUAUAUACAAAUUAUGAUGGACACAUACAAUAGAUAGUGAAAAAUAUUAGUUAGAGAAUUGUACAAAUUGGAUAAUCGGAAAAUUUAAAAAUUUAAAAAUAGAAAACUUUCAAAGGGAUCAAGCAAAAAUGUAUAAUGUACAUAGUGGUGGUUUUACGUCAAAUAUGUUUAUGUUCAAUUUUCUUUUUUUUUAUGUGUUUCCUUUUUGCAUGUAUACAUCUUUUAGUUCAUGUAUACAAGCAUCUCAUAUCUUUGUUAAAUAAAUAGAGGAACAUGUUCAAUACGUAUGACCUGGAGCAAAAAGGAUACUGGGAAAAUCAAUAAUACAAAGCUAUCAAAAUAUAAGAUUUAACUCAAUAUUUUCUCCUUUGUAUUUUUAACUUAAAAACACUAAUAAAUCCACUCAAUCUAAUUUUAAAUCAAACCUUAAGCAAAUCAUUAUUAUUGAAUAACACAUGAUUUUAAAAUCUUUUUUUUAAAUCAUAAAACCAAUAACAAGAAUUUGAAUAUAUAUUUAAAAAUCUAAGAACCAAUACUAAUGAACUGAAUAUGGAUUUUGAAAUUAUAUAACCAAUAAUACUAUAUUUUAUUUGUAUUUUAAAAUCCAUCUAAAUAUACCAACCAAUAACACCCUCUGACAUUCUCUGUAACAUCCCCCGGCGCAGCCCAUCUGCAAAAUUCCAAAAAGAAGAGAUUCUAGGGUUUUCUUCUCUCACUCGCUAUAAAAAAAGGUGCCCUUUACACUAGAAACACAUAACAAAUACAAAGUGAAGCUCUGCACAAGCCAAGACCCACUGCCAUCACCUCCUCCCAUUACAAGAAAACAUGCGAGAGGAAAUUGUUUUGGCAGGACAAUCUCGUCGGAAAAGAAAAUCCUUGGAUAGUUUCUCGGUAACACCGACGGAUUCCAACCGACCGUUUCCAACGAAUAAAGCUGUGGGAAAUCAUGGUCGAGAACUUGUCGGGAUUUAAUACCAAAUUAAAACCUUGGUUUAAUGUCUUAUAGGUAUCCCCGAACUGAUGAUGGCUCUACAAUCAAAGCAAGUUCUUUACGCCAAGAACUUAUCGCAUACUUCAAAAUAGAAAGUAGAACCAAGUCGAAAUUGCAAGGGGUGGUUUAAGCCAAAUAGUCAUGGCAAACCUAAAAUUGAAAGUAAACCUAUGUCUUUUCUAAACCCAACACACUGAUCUCAAACAUCUCAAUAGCUAGUAUCAUCAACCCGGUAGCAAAAUACACUUAAAAAUGUUUCUUAGUCAGUAGUUAGUACGUACGCUUAGUAUAUGAGAGAAAUAAAUCUGUCUCAUAUCUCCAUAUUAUACAGUGAUUUGUACUCUGAUCCGCUAGGAAGAAUGAAAUGAGAGGACAACUCACACUCUUUUUCUCUCUUUUAACUGUCCCGCAGAAACCAUGAAGUAACAAUGAUCUUAUUAAAUCCUAAGCAUCCAUUUAUCACUUAGGUUUUAACUCGAUUAACUAAAUGCAACUGUACGUAGAGUUCACAAUAGUAAUGCGAGAGCAAAAAUUACACGUAGAGAGCAAGGAACACGAGGCUGUAAACUAUUGGAUAACAAUAUCAUGAAAUCUCGUAUGAGGAUGCCCUAAACCUUAUCCAAUGGAAUACGAAAUCUUAUCCAAAUUGAGUAUAGGAAGAAAUUUUUUUCCUAGAGUUGCAAAAUCUCAAAGGUGGCUGCCUAAGACUCUCAAGAACAAAGUGAAAACAGAAGAUGAUCUAAAAAAAACCUAAUACACGAGUUAUUUUGUAUAUGGGUCUAAAAACAGGUCAAAAAAAUACGUCAAUAAUUAGUGGACCCGAGUGACAUGGAUCAACCGAUCUCAGCCAUGGAUUGGACAUUCUUCAUUUUCUAAACGAGAUUGGUCGAUCACUAUGUUCUGAUCGGCCGAUUCUUGCCAUAUUUCGGCUCCACUUGUUCCAAUGCUUCCUUUUCGCUCCAAAUUGUUGCCUAGUUGCAUUCUUUCCCAAAGAUCGUUUUCUUGUAUUGGGUGUAGCUCCUCUUCAAACAUGUCUCGGAGAUCUGAUAGCCGCACCACAAUCUUCUCCCCUGAAGACCGUCUCUACCACGUCGAGUGCGCCAUGGAGGUCAUUGGUAACGCUGGUUCCGCCAUUGGUAUCUUAUUCAAGAAAAUGUACAAGAUUGAUGACCAUGUCGCCUGCGCCAUUUCUGGUAUCAUGUCUGAUGCAUCUAGAGAAGAGGCGGUAGUCAGCUUGCAUUGAAGGUUCUGAGAAAGACUAUGGACAGCACGAGCUCGACGUCCGAGAAGCUUGAGCUUGCUGAGGUGUUUUUGACUCCAUCAGGGAGUGUUAAGUACCAUGCUCACUCUCCUGACUCGCUCACCAAGCUGUUGCUGAAACAUGGUGUGACUCAACUUGCAGCUGAAUCAUCCUGAGCACAAAACCAGGGCCGAGAGUCUCAUGACUCUCAUCUCUGCUUGGUGUUUUCCUGCGUCUCAUUUACCUAUCUUGUUAGCUCUCUGUUACAAUGCUUUUCAGUUUUAGUUUGAUGUUAAUUAACAAUGGCGAUGAAACUGAAAUUUCAUUAGAAUUUUAUCCGAAGUUACUUUGAGUAACAAUUUUACUACAUAAUUAAAAUCUUGCAUUGUGUGGAAGGAAGAGUAGAUAUCCUUUGCAUCCCCAAGGGUUAGUCACACUUUUUACGGGUCAGUGGAAUCUGUUUGCACAAAACCCUGAUUCAAAUAGGCAUUUAUUUGAUACUUUUCAAAGACCAUGAACUACCAGUUUAACCCUUUUUGGGGAUUCCAUCCACAAAUACAAAUUUUAUGGCUAAUUGAUAUGGAACAUCUAUCACAACUGUUUUCUUCAUUGUGGUCAUUUGUUUCUGAACGAAAGAGCUGUUUUCAAAUAGUGUUCGAUCGAUUAUGUACUAUUAAUAUUAGAUUGAUUGGUCCGAGGUUAUUGAUAAAAAAUAUUUGUCUAAGUCACUUUGUUCUUUUUGUCCAAGUUUUUUCGGUUUUUUUGUCCAAGUUAUUUUUCUUUUUGCUUAAUUCACCAUUUUUUUCUUUGUGAGUUUCCAGAACGUCCUUAUUCGUAGGUCUACUCAUACGCAUAGAUAUUGAAAGCAUACAGUUAAUUUUUUUAUUCAUAUAUCUCUAUAAUAUUAUUUGAGAAGUCAGUUUCUUACGUCGUGUUCAUGUUAACUAUCAUAGUAGUUGGUUACGAUAAUACCCUUAAUGAAUAUAUCUAACUAUCAUUAUUAAAUAUUUAUUCUAUUUAUUCUUUUUUAUUUAGGUUUACUUUUUCUUUAUUUUAUAAAAUAACCAAAAUAAUAAAGAAAAUAUAUAAAUUUAUAAAUUUAGAAACAAAAAUAUCUUUUAUAUAUAUAGUGUUAUUCAUAAUAAGGAAAGUUCACAAAAUAAUCUGAUUUUAAAGUAAAGAAAUAAUCUUCCCUUUUAAAAGAUAACCUUAAACAACAUAAUAUAUAUUUUAAAAUUAUUAAGAAUUUUAUUUAAAUCAAUUUAUUUCUCAAAUUAUUACAAAAUAAUUUCUAUAAUAUUAUUUGAGAAGUCAAUUUCCUACGUGUCGCGUUCACGUUAACUCUCAUGGUAGUUGAUUACGAUGAUACUCUUAAUGAAUCAAAUAUAUCUAAUUAUCAUUAUUAAAUAUUUAUUCUAUUUAUUCUUUUUUUUUAUUUAGGUUUACUUUUGCUUUAUUUUAUAAAAUAACCAAUAUAAUAAAUAAAUUUAUAAAUUUAAAAACGAAAAUAUCUUUUAUAUAUAUAGUAUAAUUCAUAAUAAGGAAAGUUCACAAAAUAAUCUGAUUUUAAAGUAAAGAAAUAAUAUUUCCUUUUAAAAGAUAAUCUUAAACAACAUAAUAUAUAUUUUAUAAGUAUUAAGAAUUUUAUUUAAAUCAAUUUAUUUCUAAAAUUAUUACAAAAUAAUGUAAAUAACAUAAAUUAAGAUAUCUUUAAUGAAUAAAAUUUAAUUUAAUAUUUUAUUUUCUUAUUUAAGUUUCCUUUUAUAGUUUUCAAAUAACAUAUAUUAUAAAUAAAAUAUUAAUAAAUUUCAAAACGAAUAUAUUUUAAUAUAUAUAAUGUGAUUUCAUGAAAAGGAAAUUUUAGAAAAUUUUAAAGUAAAUAAAUAAUCUUGCCUUUUAAAAUUUAUCGUUACGUUUUUAUGUAACUUUGUACCUAUCAUCACUUUAUUUUAUUUUUUUGUUUUCCAAAUUAACAUAUACUCCCUCUGUUCCUUAAUAUUACAUAUUCUAGGAAAAAAAAUUGUUUUAAAAAGAUCAUUUUUUUACAUUUCCAAGAAAUAUUUUAUUAACUAAUUGCAAAUUUCAAAAAACUUAAUUGCACUUACUGAAUUGUUAUUGGUUUAAAAUUAUGAAACAAAGAUAAACACAAAAAAAAAAUACAAAUUUAAUGUAUUUUAUUAAAAUGUGUGAAAAAUCUAGAAUAUGUAACAUUAAAAAACAGAGGGAGUACUAUUUACUCAUCUAAGAUGAACAACCAAAAACUAAUACAAUGAAUAGAAAUAGUUAUACUUUAAUUUGACAGAAUAUAUGUAACACAACCCACAAAAUGAGUAACUAGACCAAUUCAAUUUUUUAUUCAAAGUCAAACAUUAAAUUAAAAAUAAUAUAUUUUUACUUACAGUAAUAUUUGUAUACAUAUAAAUUAUAGAACGGCUCAACAUAUUACAAAUAAAUAUGAAAUUUUCAAAUAAUCUUAUAAAUAUAUUAACCAACUAUUACAAUUAAGUAUUUUGCAUAACUUAUAUAUAUAUAUAUGCAUAAAGUUUCAAAGGACUAUCAUUAUUAUAUUUAUUUAUGUAAUUUUGAAUCAUCAUCCCUUUAGUUUACUUUUACUAUUUAAUUCUCAAAAUAACAUAUAUUAAAUUAUACGUAAUCUUACUAAAUUUUGUUUACAAAUCUAAGACAAGAAUCAAACUACAUCAAAAUAACAAAAUUAAUCAAAAUUUUAACUUGUAAAACAAAAAUAUUAUGAUUGAAUCGAAAAAAUUAAAUGCUAUCUAUAUAUCCAAAUAAUAAUCAAACAUUUGAGAUAUUAUAUAUCCAAAAUUAUACGUCUAAUUCAUAUUGAUUACAAUAUAAAUAAUAGAAUAAUUAAAAAUAAAAUAUUAAUAAAUUAUUGUAAUGUAUAAUAUUUAUAUCCGUGCAUGACCUAGUAUUUUGAGUAAAUUCAGUUCAUUACUUGAAUAUGAAGCAUUCUUCUUGUCGUGAAGAGUUUUACACGUAACGGCAAGGACUCUCCUUGGUCUCAACUGUUAAAAUCAAGUUUUUAUUUCGUCCAAAAGAUCUGUUUAUUUUUCUUUUCAAGUCUUGAAACUACAAAAGAAUGACGUUUAAGAAAACACAAUAUAUAAUCACAGUUCUUGAUUCUUGUCCACAUUCUGCAUGCUUCUUGGCAUCUCUUUACACGAAAUGAAUCUCACAAGACAACUCAUAAGAUUAAAGUUUGUAUCAUCAAGAACAUAAAGAUCUCUCCUCAUUACAAUUCAUUACAAUGAACUUAUAUUAACUUUUUCUUACAACUUUGUGAAUGCAAGCAAAAAAACAAAAUACAGUAAAAUACUUUGAAAAAAUAAGAAACAAACUGUGAUUACAAUUCGACUUCUUAUGAUCUCUCUUUUAUCACUCUAUAUAUACAAAUAUCAUUGUAGUAAAGCUAAACGCUACAGCUUCAGUUCUCAACACUAAUCAAGAACAGAGCUUAGGAAGAGAUCUGUUGCUUCCUCUGCUAGUGCUCUUGGUUCUCUUCUUGAUAACUUCCAUCUGAGUCUGCAUUUUCAAACACGCUCUCUCCAACUCCAUCACCCUCCACUGAAUCCCUUCUAUAUGCUCUUUCAACUUCUCAUUCUCUCCUGAAGUCUCUACCUUCUCCACUCUGAGUACGAGCUGCUUCUGUUCUUGUUGCUGCUCAUCAUCUAAUGUCUCAAUCUCCUGAAACUUUGUGUUACGCGACAUAUGUGCUCUUGAUUGGACUGAAAGCUUCUCGUAACUCAAAGCUCUUAUCAAGUUGAGUCUUUCACCAUUGGUUAAUCCUGCAUGUGCCUGAACAAGCGAAAGAAGUUUUUGUAAGACUUUCUUUUUACAUUUUAAAGUUUAAGAUGAAUCUUGAAACGUUACCUCAAGAUACAUGUCAAUAGCACGGUAGAUAUCUUCAUGAGACUCUCUUGCUGAGUCAGGAACGAGUGUGAGGAGUGACAGAAACUUUGAAGGCUUCAAGCAAGGAUCAGGUGCUACUUCAGCUACGUACUGAUCAAUCAACCUCGCCACUUUCUUCAUCUGUGAUGAUCCUCUUUUCCCUCCGUCAAGGAAAGCUUUUGCGAAUCUAAGAACAAGAUUCACAUAGUACAAGUGACUAGACUUCGAUGGAGAUGGAACAAGGAGGUUGUCGAGUGUUGCUUGUUCCAGUUGCUGACCAAUCAUAACCUCCAGCUUGUUCAUAACACUUUUGUUUAUGUUUAACCCAAGAGCCAGCCUCAAAACACCGAAAAGACUCUUGUAAGGAACACAGCUUCGGUCCAACACGUAGAGAGUAUCAACGGUCGUUUCCAGAAUCUCUCUUUUCUCAUUUGAUGACGCAGAACAGAACUUAACCUUCUGGUAAUAGAACAAGAACCUAGUGAUGGUAACAUUAUCGAACUUCCUCAACACCAUCAGCUUCAAGAACGUUUUAACCAAGCCAGGACUUAGAACAAGAACCUCAUCGAACCACCAUGUUAUCCUGGAAGAGCUGUUCUUGAAACUCUCUGUGCUUUUACUGUCACAAGAGAACCUAAACAAGCUGCUAUCCGGCGAAGGCGAGCAAGCAGCGCUAGAGGGACUCGCUUCAAUGGCUAAACACAGUUUCUCCACCAGCGCAUCCAUCAGCUUCACGGCUAAAGACUCAGCCUCAGAGGAUGUUUCAAGUUCUUGGCACUGUUUCAAACUAAGAAGAACCUCUGGCCAUGCCCAGUACCGAAUCUCCUCCAUACACUUCUCAGUUUGUGCCAAGACUUUAGUGACUUCCAUGAACUUAGCAGCACAAUGCAAGAAGACUACGUUCGAAGGCAUCACAGUCCAUUCACAGUUGUUGUAGCAGAAUCUUGACAAAAGCUCGAAACUCUCAGCUCCACCAGGGAAGUCAUUAAAAAUCACCUUGAGAUUACCACUGGAAGAACAAGUAGACUUCCCAAGCAGUUUCUUCAAUGUUCCAGAAUACUUGCAUAUGAUUUGCUGAAAUCAAAAAGCCAUUAUGAUUGCAUUAAGUGAAUCUUGAAAGUCCCACAUGAAAAAAGGUUUAAACUUUAAUGCCAUGUUACCGUUUUUGUGAAGGAAUAAAGGCAAAACAAUGAUGAACACUUAUUACAAAGACAUAAAGGAAAUUAAAUAUCUAACUACACAAUGGUCUCUGUGUCACAGCUAUAAGUGAGAACAAAAGGGAAGUGAAUAGUGUCCAAGCAAAUUGCAAAGGAGAGAGCAACUUCUUAACCUCUCCUUAUUAAAGAGUUAUCUUUCCUAUUAAUGGGCAAGAUUUUGUUUGUUUGCAGAGAAGGUCAAAGGAAAGGUAUAGAACAAAACAUGCAAUAAAUGGUGAUUGAGACAUCUGCUUCUUCACUCUUACAAGACACAAUCAGUUACAGGUUCUGAAUAAGUUAUUGGUUUUAACAAGAAGUGAAAGUAAGCUUUUGUGCCCUCAUUUUAAGGUAAUUUAGUGCCAGAACAACAUUAAAUGCUGAAUGUGGCGGAGUCACAGACCAUACGUGAGACAUAAUAUUAUCAUAUAAUCAAAAACAAAUCACAUAAAAUAAAAUAUAUAUUUUUUUUACAGUUUUUGAUGCAGAAAUUAGAACUCAAAUGAACUUCAUUUCUACAAAAUUAACAUUCAACGCACGAAAACAAAUAGCUAUGUAGAAAUUUGGAAUGGCCCAGAUAAGGAAAAAUGAAAUUAAACAUUGAGAAAUGGUUAAAGUUUGGAUUUUUCAGCCUAUAUUGUGUGUAGAGUCUGUUAUAGAGAGAGUAGGAGUUAUUACCUUAUUGAGAAAGAUAGUUUCUUCUCCGUUGAUGUCUACUUCAAGAACAGAGCAAGAUUCCAUUGCUAAAAAACAGAGAGAGAGAAAGUAAGGUAACACCCAAAAACAAGAACCCACCUAGAUAACAAGAUUCUCUCUCUCUCUCUCUGUUUCUUGAUUUUUGCCCAAAAGGAAAAGAGAAAAAGAGAUUGUGGUAAAAGAGAGGGGGGAGAUGUGGAUUUAUGCUGAGAAGAGGAAGAAGACAAAGAGCAAAGAAGCAAAGAAACUUUUGUUGGUUUUCUGAUUGUCAGAUCUGUAAGUAAAGACUUUCUCUUCUUUUAUGUCUGUCAAGUCAAUUGGUGAAGCACCACCAACAAACUAGUGGUGGGUUUUGUGUUUUUGUAUGUUCAUGGGAGAGAUGGAAAUUUUAGAGAAAGAUAAAGGGACCAAGCAACAAAGGCGUGUCCAAACAAACGUCACUCUACUCUUUUCUGUAUAUUGUGUGUGAUAUUAAUAUGCAAAGAAACAAAUUAUAAGAGAGAGAGAGAGGAGAGAUAGACCUAUUAUCCGUGACAUUCUUGCUAAAAAACAAUUAAUAAGAGGUGAUAUUUUGUUACAAUAAUAUAAAGUAGUUUUUCAUGUAGUAGAUAUAUUGUUACUUUGUUGGUAAGGACUAUGACAACGCAUUUACCCUUUUGAUCAGCUGAUCAAUCAGUAAUUAAUCAUUUAUUUUCCAGGUAAUUAUGACUAGUAUAAGCCAAAUGGGUGAAGCUUUCUAGGCCAUGUUCCUCUCUUUUUCUCAUCAUGCUGCUUUGAUUACCUCUCUAAUUACGAUUACUAUAUUAUUUUGGAUAAUUGCAUCUCGUGAACGCUAGACCAAUCUUAACUAGUACGAGUCGUUAAAAUAAAACGGAUUCUGACUUUGUAACCAAGAAGUUACGAACCUUAACCUUGUAAAUGUUAUUAAAUUUUAGGGAAUUAGAUUAAAUCAUGUAAAUACUAUUAUUUUUUACUGAUACAGCAAAAAUAUUGUUUCAGUAUGACAAAAUAGUUUUAAAUCUACGGUUUCAACAAGUACAAGAAAAAAGAUGUUUUCAUGCAAGAUUACUAUUUUUUAACACUUUUAACGAAAGAUAGUCCACUAACAAAGAGAUUUGGUCGGCAUAGACGCUUUUAACACUUAAGCCUUAUCUAUAAGAUAUAAGACUAUUCAAUGCCUUGAAAUAAAGUUCUAUAUAAAUCACGAAUCUAUUAUAUAUGGAGUAUAUAAGAAAAGGAUACAACUUAAUAUAUGAAAUUUUUUCAAAGAUACAUAAUCCGGAAUAUCUAUUUUCUUCUUGAUGAUUGUAACAUGCAACUUUAAACUAUGUAAAUAUCAUAUAUCAUACACAUAAAAAUAAUAUCAAUUGUUGACAUACAAAAAAUAAAUAAUACCAAUUGUGAAAAUACAAAUGAUAUAUUAGAUGGCAUAAAAAGCAGUAGAAAUACAAUUUAGAAAAUAAUAAGAAAAUAUAGUUGUUACCCUUUUUUCAAAAAAAAAAAAAAUAUAGUUGUUUAAUAAAGGGGUCACUGCUAUAACAGAAGAGAUAAAGUGUGAUGUGUUUUUAACAGAAAAGAAAAAUAAACAAAAGUGUGACUGUGUGUGGUGAGGUGUUCAACUGCUCAUGCACCAAAGCUCCCUAACGUGGUGGACAAAAAAGCCAUGGAACGGGGAUCACGUGAGCUCACUCUGAUGCUUUUACUCCUCACAUGAUAUUAUGAUAAGGUAUUUACAAAUAGUAGCGGUUCUGACCCAUCCUAGGGCCCAAUAGUAUUAGCCAUCUAACGUAUCUAAAAUGUUGAUUAGUAGAGGACAAUCAUGACUCAUGAGAUAGAUUGGAUGGUCUGUGUUUAUCUUUACGAAACUCACAAAUUUUACGGUCAAGUUAAACUGGUAGAAUCGUUGCAUUGACAGCUAAAUAUCGUUGCGGCUAUGUGGCCACAUCGGUCCAUGGGGUAUUUUUGGAGAUUUGGACCAUAUGGGGUCAUGUCAUUUCAUCUCCUACUUUUUGCUUGAAAUUGUUUUGGAGGGAUUCCAGCUUUUUGUUUCAUGUUUAUUACUGAAACGUACGGAGGAUCAUUGCUAACAUAAUUGCAUAAAGUUUAAAACAUACUUUCUUACCAACCUAUAUAUAGUACAAAUGCGCACAAUAUUUAACGCUAAGACCAUCUCCAAUGGCUUACUCUAUUUUCUUACUCUAAAAUAGAGUAACUCUAUAAUAGAGUUUGAGUUUGCUCCAAUGGUACUCUAUUUUAGAGUAGAAAAUAGAGUGAUGAACAAAAAAAAAACAAGUUACUCUAUAUUUGGAGUAAACCUAUUUUUCACUCUAUUAUAGAGUGAGAAAUAGAGUACCAUUGGAGCAUUUUUUACCCUAAACUCUAUUUUAGAGUGAAAAAUAGAGUGGGGUUGGAGAUGCUCUAAUUAGUAACAAAGGGAUUCUAUUUGUCUUUUACUUAUUUCUUAAAAAAGGUAUGAUACUUCUUUUUUGAACUGAAGGUCUGAUACUUUUUUUUGUUCAACGAAGGUCUGAUACUUCUUUAUACUUUUCUUGUCAAAGGUUUUGCAUUCUCUUUUCCAAUAUGAUAACAUUGAUUUAGAGAAUACAUUUGUUUUCAAUUGUGAAAUGUCAAUACGAACGUUUUACAAUGGAUCGCUUCGACCUUUCUGUGUGUGCUUCCUACAGUCUUCACACUGUUUCCUAUCCAAAACACCACCUCGUUUUCUUAUACAUGAAUGAUUUCACAAAAUUUGUUGUUUAUUAAACAAAAGGUUCUGUAAGCCCAUACUUUACUCUGGCCUGGGACCCAACAUGUUAAAUGUUAUUAGUUCAGGCCCAGAAUCUGCUCUUUCUCUUUAUAACAAGUGAAUUCGUAGUUGGGUGCAUCCGUGCAUGAGUGGGUUUGUGCGCAACAAACUCUACAAAAUUGUGAAGAAUUGAAGAGAACAUCCUCCUUAUUCCUCAAGUUCGACAAACUUUCCCAAGUUCCCAACUUAACCCCGAUAAAUACGAACGACUGUAGCCAGAACCAGGCCCGGUCCGUUGGUUUUUGGCGCCUAAAACCCAAUCCAACUAUAAAAAUAUUCCACCUAAAAAACGAAGUUGAGUUUCGAACCCCACCCUUUUGGUUAGCAGUGUCGACCACUACACUACAACUAACUUAAAAAAUGUUUUUGUUCUAAAAAUAUAUAAUAUAAUUUGGCGUUUAAAACAUGGGUUUUAUCUGCUUUAGCCCAGGACCGGCCCUGGCUAAAACCAAAAAUGGAUUUAAGAAACUUUAUUAUUUUAUAAUCAGAAGCCAGAUUGGAAGUUUACAUAACAUUCCAAAGUAUAACAUUUGUUAAAGUAAAAAAAAAAAAUUGUUAAAGUCAAGAAAGUUUUACCAUGCAAAAAAGUUCAAACAUAGCUGAUAGUGAUCAGAUUCAGAAGAUGAGUAAGGGCAUCCAUCCUCUCAUUGAAGGUUCUUCAACGUUCAAUUAAAGAAAUUCCCUCAAGAUGAUUUGGCAGUGCUCGAUGUAGACCACUGUUCAGUAGAUAGAGAUAUAUACCAUAACAGUGGUUAACAAGAAACAAUCAUUCCACAAGGUAACCUUCUCUUUUGUUAAGUAGGUUCCCUUUUCGGGAUAUGUAACUCUAUUUUUGGGAAUUUAUUUAUAGAUAUGGUAUAUGGAUCAAUUUCGUUGCUCCUCCUCUUAUCACACGAGUAGAGUGAUGAAAAGAGAGUUUGGCAGUCACGCUUGUAGACGGACACGUGGAAAGAAGAUACGCCCCAAUUGCAGCAAACAAACUCCGUAUAUAUCAGAAAAUGGUUUUACUACCCAACAAAAUAUCCUGUCUCAUCUGACCGGUGAGAUAAUCCAACGGUCCAGAUUGAAUCAGUACAAACCAUGAAACUGCCUGGGCUAGAGAGAGAAAUAAACAAACAGUCGACAAAAACCUCAGAGAGGUUCGUUCGUAUAACAGAAUCGUCAUCGUUCCUCGUGUCGCCGCCUUCUCUCCCUCCACCCAAUCAAUAAACUCCACGUGUCAGUAUUCCCUUUUCCUGUAUAAUAAUAUAUCCACCCAAGCACCAGAAGCAACGAACGUUGUCAUCUCUCUGAAAAUGGAGUCCUGUUAUGAGUUCGACUCGCUCUCUGAGUUACCGCCGCUUCCACAAGCGUACGCUCCCAUGGAGGAGUAUUAUCCUUACGACAUUGCUCCUCUCGAAUCCUUACCUCCCUUUCCUCACUCCGAUUUCGCUCCUCACGGCGGCUUGAUCACCUUCUCCGACGCGCACCAAGAGUAUCUCCAGCUCCAGAAACAACAACAACACUGCGCAGAACCGAUGUUCACAGACUCGUCUCUGUCGCUCGUCACUCGCGACUACCUCACCGAGUCGACUCGGUUCGAAAACCUCUUCUCCCAUGACGUUCCGUUUCUCUAUUUGCCAGAUCUCAAAUCCGUGGAAGACGCGAGGUCGCCGCCGCCGUGUCUCUCUCUCGCUCCUCCUCCUCUCCCGGUGGCUAGACAGCGUCACGUCCGCUCGCGAGUCAACAACACCUUCUCUAUCUCUUCUAAAUCUAAAGCUCCGGCGUGUCAGAAUGUUCAGGGUACAAGGAAGGUGUCAGACAGAAUCAGAUCGUUAGAGAAAAUCAUGCCGUGGGAGAAGAAGAUGAGUUUGGGUGCGACUCUCGAGGAAACGCACAAGUACAUCACCUUCCUCCACUCUCAGAUCGCUUCUCUCCGUUGGAUGCCUCUCGAUUCCGUCUACCCAACCAAACCCAGAGAAGAAACCACCAGUCUCCUCAACUCUCUGACGAGACAACAGCUUCUCCAGGUGCUUGCCAACUCUCCGGGGUCACGAAACGUGCUCUACAAGCAAGGUGUUUGCGUCUUCUCCUAUGAACAGCUUCUCUCCCUCAAGAUGAUGGCUCGUAACCUCUGAACACAAAAAGUGAAAACAACUUCCUCUGUUUUUGCUAACUUUGUUUUUUUUCUUUUGCUAAAUUAAUGGAGUUUGAUUCUCUCUUCAUUUUUCUUUUGCUAAAUGAUACUACUAGAAAGCUACAUUAAUGGAGUUUGAACACAAAACGAAAACGAUUUCAUCAUAGAACAAAAGCAAUCCAAGACGCUACUAUCAUCAUAAACAAAAGUUUCCAAGAAAAUCAUUUAACGGACUUCAUAGCGAGGAUGGCAGACGCAACGAGCUCACACUUGUCCUUGCACGCUUCGAGUUCCUUGAGAAACAAAGCCUCGCCUCUUUCAUUCAGCUCCUUGGCCUUCUCUUCUCCGAUAAGCUUGGCUCUCUCAUAAACAUAGUACUCUGGAAUCAAACCUUGAGCUACGCUUGUGCUCAGAAAACUCUUCAAAUAAGGAUAACGGAUCCAAAACUCCUCCUCCUCCUCCUCCUCUUCGCUACGUUUCGUCUCUGUUUCUGUUAUCGGCAGACGAAAUCAGAGAGGAUUAGAAAACGAGAGAGAGUGGUAAGAGUACCUUUUGCAGUGGUGAUUUCCGACUCCGACGGUUCGUCUUCCAUGGAUUCGUCAUAAGAUACUUCGGAGUCGCUGAAGUCUUCAUCGGAUGAUGAAUCAGAGUUGUUCGGGAGAUCAACAACCGGAACCGCCAUUGUUUUGGAGAUUUUUGGAGCUUUAAGGAAGUGAGAAAAUAGUGAAGCAAGGGGAGAGAGAAAUAUAUAUAAGUGUAUAUAAAUUGUGAUUUUUUUUUGUUUUAAUUUGUUCAGCUGUCGUUGAUUGAACCGGUUCUGAUUUUGAACAAACCAUAAUAAAAAAUCAAUGACCAUAGUAAACCGAAACAUGAACAAAGUAAUGCAACCGAAUUCACUCAAUAAAACAAGAUGUCUUUUUGAUGAUAUUAAAAAAUAAAAUAAAAAGCCAAAAGCUAAAUAGCAACAGUCAAAUAUUUCUUCCGAAUAAUCAAAGAUAAGAAUCCCAAUAAACAAAACAUAAAAUAAGUUGAAUUACUGAUUUAAUGAAUGAGCUAAAUGGUGUGUGUGUGUUUAGAUCUUCAUGGAGAGUAUGUGAUGUUAGAAACAACUUCAAAUUCGAUCUCCACUUUCAGAGAGCCUUGUUUGUCCAAGUAAGCCUCUUCAAGUUUAGCUAAAGACACAAAUUCAGACCAUCCCCAACCUGAGGUGUUCUUGUGCCACUGGUUAACUGCAAUAUACAAAAAUGUAAUCUCUAAUGAAUAUAUAUCACAUAGCAUAUAGUCUCAUUAACUGGUAACUAAAACAACGUUCUGACUUACGCUUCAAUGUCACGUGGUGGGAUCCAAACGGGUCGAGAAUUCGCAUAUCGCACUGCGUGUAAAUCUCCUCACCUGUCGUCAUUGUUUUAGUUUCACUAUCGGCUAAAUGGAGAAAGAGGGACAACCAUGUGGAACAUGUACUGUUGUCGCCUUUAGGAUACAACUUAAGCACCCUGUACAAAAAAAACAUUACACAUUGUUAAAGCAUAUAGCAAUGUGUUAAAUAAAAAAACUUCUGAUCAUUAAUUACUCACCAAUUCCUUCCUUCUAUUAAGAACUUGCUUGAUACGUAGCAAUGUUCUUUCAACUUAGAGAAUUUGUUGAGCGUCCAAGAGAACUUUUUAUUGGUGGGUUUCUGAGUAAAUGAGACAACUUCCCAAUUGGUAAGUGGAACCAUCACAUCAACACCAAACUCACAUUGAUCUCCAUCGUAGACAUAACCGUUUUUAGGAUCAUUGAAUGUAUCAAGGGGAAGUACUUGCGGAAACCCAUGCACCAAUCUUAAUGCAUUGAACUGCUUUCCUUCAACAUCUGGAUAUGUUACAUAAAUAUCAUCAAUCAACAUACAAACUUUUGUAUUUAUAUACAAAGAGAUAGAAUGGGGGUAUGGAGGUAAGAACCUUGAAUAGUAAAGUAUUUAUUUUCUUUCUUGUUGAAGAUGAAGAAGGUGAGAUACGCCAAAACAUUGGACGAGAGGCUUUUGCUAUCUAAUUCAACAUACAUUGAAAUAAACCCUGUCCCGUUGUCUUUCUCGUUUCCGUUCGGAUAUAUAACCAAUCUCCUGAUAUCACAACAAGUAUGAAAAUUUUAGUUCACUUUUCUAAGAAUAUAUUUGUAUUAUAUUAUCAAAUUACAAGACUAAAUUAAAUUACCAGUUGUAUUUGCCGGAAGAGAAGGUACGGGACUUGUAUCCGUCAGUACCAGAGAAGAGAGUUUUGAGUUGAGAGAGGCUUUGGAUCUUCAUGGAAUAGGUAGAAGGAGGACGAACUCCAAACUUGGUAAUGGUAGAAUCUGAAACAACGCAUGUCUUUUCUGUUUUCAACAUUCUGUUGCAGCUUAUGAGAGAGAUAUGGAGAGAAAGAGAGUCAAUUAAUUGUAUCGAGAAGGCAAAGUGAUCAAUCCUUGUUCGUUUUAUAUUAAGUGAAAAAAUGGAUCACAUCACAACUAGGAAAAGGAGUUCCUAUUUUGACUAGAAUAUCACAUCACAACUAGAAAAAGGAGUUCCUAUUUUGACUAAAAACUCGCGUCUUUGUUUGAUUUCCUAGUGGCAAACAAUACGCUUAUUAAAAUCCUUUAUAAUUAUUUUUCUUGUGCUUGAUCCUAUGUUUUUUUUUAUAUAUCAAACUUUUUUUUCCUCGUUUAUAUCAAACUUAGAGUAUGAAUGGUGAGCAGGAAAUGGUGAGGAAUAAUGCAUUCUCUAACGUUCCUAAAAAAUAUCACCAUUCAUAAAGAAUAAUUUUUCUUUUUCAUUCUCUAACAAAUUAAUUCUUUGUGAAAUAUGGGAUGGAACAACCAUUCGUUUUCAUUUUUGCAAUCAAUUCUAUUCCUCUACGUUCUUUUCCUAUUCAUUCCUCUUGUUUCCAGAAUGAACAUCAAUCCGACAUUUACUCACAUUUAAAGAUUUGAGAUGAUCUGGAAAAUAAAACUAAAAUCUAACAACCAGUAAAAAAUAAUUCUCGAUUUUUUAGCAUUUUUACCAUAAUAAAUCUACAGUUUUGGUAUUCGCCCUAGAAACAAAGAAUAUGGUGAAAGUAUAGAAACAUUUUCUUAGCCUCUGAAAUUCGUUUAGUUUCAUCAAAAUUGUGCCAAACAUCAAGCGUCACUGUAAUCACUUUUGGACUAUCUGUUCCAAAAUCUUACACUGUUGAGUGUUGGAGUAUACACUACAUUGCCAAGAUGAGAACUUCAAGUUUUGAAUGGAGUGGAGAUAGACGCAGAUGUUGAUUACGAGCACAUAUGAAUACCUCCAUUUUUGUUUUCCUAAAUCCAACCAGAUCAACUAUAUUGUGAAAACUAUGCCAAACCAUCUAUUAUACAUAUAUUUCUUAAGCUUUAGAUGAGUGUAAAUUGUUGGCCAUUUUUUUGUUAAAUAGUCGUAUCACCACCAUUGUAUGCAUCAUGCCAAACUGAAUAUUCCCACUCUGCAUAUCGAACAAUUAAUGUCUAAUGGGUAUCUGUUAAUUCGUUUGAAAAUUUUGUUGUUACGUGAUUUUUAACUUCAUGAUCUUCUCCUUUCCGCUUCUUCUUUCCACAUCAGGACUUUACAAUCGAACGAUUGUAUCUAACCAAAUGUAGAUUGGAAGUUUCAUAUAUCUGACAGUUUAACAUUUGUUAUACUCAUGACACGGGAAUCUUUACAUUCUAAAAAACCUUACCAUCAAAAUAAGUUCAUAUAUAGCAAAUAGUAAUCAGAUCAGAAGAUGACCAACGUUAGACUCUAACAAAUUUAAUGAAGUGUUCAUGACUUUUAAUGAAGUUUAUGUUAAUCCUUUUCAUUUCAUACUAGCUGGUCCUCCCGUGCUUAUACACGGAUAUAAACAUUUACAAAAUAAUUAACUUAUACUAAUGGAUAAAUAUUUUUUCGUUUAUUUGUAAGUUAUAAGUCAUUUUGUAAUUUUAUGUAUGAUAAAUAAAUAGAAAUGUAUUAAGUAUCAUUAUGUUUUCAUCUUAAUUAGAUAUAUGCUUUCAAGUAUAAUAUUUUGCAUUAGUUGUCUUUGGUAUAUUGAGUUUUAUCUAUUCUUUUAAAUUGAACAAUGAUUUUUUUUUGUUGUUUUUGUUUUAACUAGGUUAAAAUUAGAUUAUUGUUUUCCUAAAUUCAGUUAGUUCUGUUUAACCUAUUAUAUAUUUUUUAAUAUUUUGUAAAACAAUUUGAUAACAUUGUUUGGGAAAAUGUAGUAAACAAAAAUAUUGAAUCUGUGUUGUAUUAAUAAACAUAACUUGUAAAUUUUAAAAAUAUAGAUAAAUUUCUUGGAAAAAUAUAAAGAAAAAGAGAAAUAAAUUAGUAUAUAUAUUAUCUAUGUUUUAUAUCUUAUAAAUAUUUAUUCUUUUAUAUUUAUGAGUUUUGUAAAAAUAAAUUUAAAUUAAAAAUAUAAGUAAUAAUUUUUUGUCAGCCAAAUAAUUAAAUAUUUAUUAAAAAAGAUAUAAAAAUUGUCAGUAAUUGUAGUUAAGUAUAACUUUAAUUUCAUUAAAUUAUCUGUAUAGUUAAAGUUUCUAAAAAAAUAUGAUAUUCGAUGACCAAUCUAUGUUGUUUAAAACUUUUUUUUUCAGUCAUUUGAUCAAAAAUAUAUCCAUAAUAAUAUGUUAUUAUCUCAUAAAAAGAAUGACUGAUUUUUUAUUUUGUUUUGCGAAGUUAUGUUAUGUUAUAUAUAUAUAUAUAUAUAUAUAUAUAUAUAUAUAUAUAUAUAUAAGUCUAUAUAUUUUUUAAGUUUUUAAAUAUUUCCUUUUUUAUUUGUUAUUUGGGAGAAUAUUCAAAAUAAUAAAAUUAAAUUUUUUCCUUUUUAUGAUUUAUGUACUUUUGUAAAUAAAGAAAAAAUAAUUAAAUAGUUAACUAAUAUUGUAUUAUGAAACAAUAAUUCUUAUUACAUAUUAAUGGCAAUCAAAUUUGAUAUUUUUAGUUCAUUAAGGAAACCUAGGUAACUAACCGUUUUGAUAAUUAAUGUAAGUGCAAAACGUAAGAAACAAAUCUAUACUAUUAAAACAGAAUCUCUACUAGGAUUAUACUCUUGAUUUUAGAGUUAUUUACAAUACUAUGCCAUUCCCUUAUUUAGAUUUUUUUAAAAAUUAUUUUUGAACAAAAAUUAAAUACACGUUAAUACCUAUUUUGAAACUUAAAUCUUUACCAUAUAUACUAUAUUCUCUCAUAUAUCUUAAGAAUAUUCCAAAAGAAAAAAAAAGUUAAACACUCUAAUAAUUCUCCUGUAAGACUGGAAUAUAAAAUAUUUGCUGCUUAAUAUUUUUUUUGGUGCAAUCGUUAUAUAAUGUAUUAAAUAUAAUUACAUGACAAAAUAUUUAUGUGAUCUACAGCCUAAUCAUUUACUGUUCUUUCCUACAAUUGAUUAAUAACAUCAUUGAAAUCAUUAUUAUCAUUUUUAAACUUGAUUAUAUUUCAAUGAGUAUACAAAUUGUAUACAACAUACUCAUCAAAUAAAAACCUAUAUAAAUCGACCAAAAGAUCCAUGUAUUUAUAAGUCAUCUAUCAUUUAUGAUUAUGUUGUAAUGAGUCGUAAAUGAGAUGAGUCUAAUUUUAUAAAUCUUAAUUUUCAGGUUAAAAAAAUUUAUACGGUAACAAUAUAUUGUUACAAAAUAUUUGUUCACAAAAAGAAAAAGAAAAAACAUAAACUUAUUUUUUAAAACUUAUUUUUUAAAAAAUUGUUAUAAGCAUCGAAAAAAUAGUAAACAAUAUUGUAUUUAAACUAACUGAUGAUAAUUCUAGGUAGAUGGAACAUGCACAUAUUUAUAUAUAUAAAAUAUUCACAAAACAAAAACUAUUGUUACCAUCAAUUGAAAAAUGGAAAACAAACACAGGCCUGUUCAUUCAAUUAACUAAUCGAAAUUGAAUUAUGAUAAUUUAAAAUUAAUCCGCAAGCUCAAAUAUAAUUAAAAUAAUAUAUUAUAAAAUUAAAAAACCAAAUAAUAGUGAAACCAUACAUAUAAGAAAAUAUAAAGUAUGAAAUUUUAUUAUACACAAUAAUAGGUUAUUUAUAAAAUUUUAAAAUUAGAUUUUCAAACUGAAAAAGUCCCGUGCUUUCAAAGCGCGGGUAAAAAUCUAGUUUCUCAAAUAAAACUAUUAAAACCCGAAAUUCGGUUAGUGAAACCAAAUGUUAACAAAUUAUUAAAAAAAAAAUCAUGAAUUAUUUAUAUAAAUGCAUAAACUUUCAAAAAGAUUAUGAGUUAUGUUCCACACAGAGGCGGAUCCAAAAUUGUUUUUGGUAUGGAGCACAUAACCAAGUUCUGGUAGCAAAUGUUGAGUUUAAGUGAGUAUUUAGAUAGUUCAGUACUAAUUAUCAUGGGAGAAAAAUAAUUUAGUGCCUCACCCCCUUAGCCUCUAGGUCUGCCUCUGUGUUCACACAACUCCAAACCGAUAGCAGUUUCAUGCUGCUUUCCUAAAAUAAAUAUAUCAUUACUUGUUUUUACGAAAUAUAUCAUGCUUCCAAGACAAUAAACCAAAUUAAAUAUAACUAAUAGUAUUAAUAUGAUUUUAGCCUAUUUAUAAUCAUUUUAUGGUUCAGUUGAAAUAAAUAAUUACAAUCUAAUAUGUCCCAAAAAUAAUUGAACCUAUCAAAAUGUUUAUAAGCAAAAGCAGAUGUUUGUUUAAAAAAUCUUCUAUUUGUUUUAUACAUAUUAUUUACAAAAAUAUCUUACACUUAUAAAAUAAAAAUAUAACAAUUAGUUAUUAUAAAUUAUAUAUUUUAUAAAUUAUUAUAUGUGUGCAUGAGCACCAGAGAACCAUUUAGUCUUAUAAUACAUUUAAACUCGGGUUGUGGGUACAUUAACCAUUGAAAAACGUCAACGGUCCAAAACCGCUUCGAUUUCACCAUAAUUGGCGUACGAAAUCGAGGGAUUUUAAAAUCCUGUUUUUUCUAGUUUUAAGUCUGCAGUCGACUUUUCUUUUUAUGUAGACCAAAAAUAGUUAGAUGCAAACUGUAAAUAAAAUGAUGCAUAUAUUAGACCAAAAAAAAUGAUGCAUAUGUUUAACUGUUAAAGAAAUGAGAGACGACAAUUUUUACUUUUAGGGCAAGAAUCUAAGUAUGAGGAAAGAAAAGAAAGUACAAUGAUUCUGAUAUCCUUCAAUAAACUAAAAGGACAAACAGUUAAAUAUAAUUAUUAGAGACUCAAACCUGCGACCUUAAUUCAAAAAUUCCUGUUUGAUCUCUAUACAAUAUCCAUCUUCUUGUUUCGAUGCAAGAUUCCAUCCGAAUGCGUACCACAGUCCAAAUACAACGUUGUUUGUUUUGCUUUCACCUGAGAGUAAUUAUAAUUAACAAAUCACACCGACAAUUAAAUGAAGUGAAUAUCUGUAACCAGAACGAGAACGAGUCAGCUCUAAUAGUAAGAGAGUUGCGGUUAUAACUUUCGCCAUCCAAAUUCAAUUCAUACUGAAAGAAACUAUUUACAAUGUUUAAAUUCUUAACAAAAAGAUGAAAACACUUUUUUAACCAAAAAAAUGAGUACCUGUAAUUUGGGGGACGAGUAAAACACUAAAAUCAAUAUAACCCAAACUGAUUUCAGAUUCUCUAAACCAUUAAAGCAUACAUACUUAUGGAGAACGAAAUAAGUUUUAAUUCAGUAAUGAAUAUUAUAACUUGAUGGGUUCUUUUUUUGUCAUCUGUGUAGUAUAACUACUUUGUGGUUAAUUAAAAGAAUCACAUUUGAUUAGAAAAUCACUCACUCUGUUGUCAGGUAAGUGGUAACUAUGAUUCCCAUUGGUGGAGACGUGGAAUGUCAGCAACCUCAUCAUUCAUUGGACAUAUAUAUAUUGUUGUCAAGUCAAAAUAUUUAUGUACUCUAUCUAUUUUUUUAUACGUUCUGUUUAAAAUAAAUAUUUUUGUUACAAAAUAAAUGAUAUUUUUACUACGCUAAAUAAAAAUUUAUGUCAUUUGAAAUUUGUAAUCAACAACAAAAUAAUAUAUCUUCUUUUCAUUGGGUAAACUAGUUUUAUUUAAUACUGUUAUAUAAUCAUAAUAAAGUGUAUAAAAAUUGAUAAAAUCCGUUAUAUUGAAACAGCAGGAGUAAUACACAAAUAGUCAAACAUAAUUAUCGGCUUCUAUCGUUGAUUUGACUAGCACAAACUAAAAAACCCUGUCUUCAAACAAAAUAAAAACUUGUUGAUGUUCCGCACCUUGUGCGGAUUAAUAUAUCUAUAUACCUAACAAUUUUUAAUUAUAAUAUUUAUUUUUAUAAAAUAAUAAUAACUAAAUUAGAUACAAAAAUUAAAUUAUUAUAAAUUAUAAAACUUCAAUAUUCAUAUUAGUAAUCAAUGUACUAAAUUAUGUUUUAUUAGAUCAAAAUCUUUUCUAUAGUAAUAAUUAAAUUAGGAAAUUUGUAUUUGAAAUUAAAUACAUGUAGUAUUUGGACUGAAAAUAAAUCAUGUGGUACUGGAAAGGAUUAUAAAAAAAUCACAACUAUAAAACAUUAAUAAAAUAAUAAUAGUCUAGGAGUAAUCUGGCAAAACCGAACUAUUUUAAACCAAACCAAACCGAAAUAGGGAAAACGGUCUUGAUUUGGUAGUACCGAGUAAACAAAAUGGAUGUUAUAUUUAAGAAACCGUAGUAUAUGAAUAUGGUUAAGUAUAUUAAGCGAUCAAACCGAAUAAACCAAAGAAACCGGUUAAUUCAGAUAUAUUAAAAUACUUAUAUAUAAAAUUUGUAUUUCAUCAAUAUUUCCUAUAAAAAUCAAAGAAAUGGCUAUAAUAUUAGUCAUUAAAAUCAUAAAUUAAUAUAAGAUAAAAGUAAUUAUUAUAUCAGUAGAUGUUGUUAAUAUCAAUUGUUAAUAUCUAUUUAUUAAUUAAAUGUCCUAAAUAUCAUGAUAACUAUAUACUAAAAAUAUAUAUAUUUUAAAUAAUAGUAUAUAUAUAUAUAUCAGUAGAAUAGUUUAAUGUUUAUUAAUUAUCUUUAAUAUCAUGAUAAAUAUAUAGAUUUUAAAAUAAAAUUUUAAAAUAAAAAUUUAAAUUAUAAUAUUAAUUAAACUAAUAAUUUAUUCUAAAAUCAUGAAAAAAUGACAAGUAAGCAAAUUAACUAAAAUCAUGGAAAAAUGAUAAGUAAGCAAGCUUUUAAAUAAUAAUAUUAAUUAAACUAAUAAUUUAUCUUAAAAUCAUGGAAAAAAGACAAGUAAGCAAAUUAAAAAAAAAAAUUAUAGAAAAAAUGACAAAUAAGCAAAUUCACUUCUCAAAUAAUAGUAUUAAAAAAAUUAUUUAGACGCCACUAUUUUAUGUGAAUACUAAACACAUAAAGUCCAAAUUCUCGAAAGAUAAAUUUAUUUGAAAUUUGUGGUUAUUAUAUUUAGUUAUCACAUUGACCUGUUCAUCACAUUGACUCAGCAUAGCACAUGUAACCAAUAUCCUCGGCUAGUUAUCCGUUGAUGUUUGAAAUCUUUUAAUCAACAACCACUCAGCAUCUUAUACGAUUCUCCUAUACUUUAUGCAUGAAAUUAACAGUUUACAUGAAGCUUAAUAGUCAAUUUGAUUUUUUUUUUUUUUUUUUGCAUUAUACAGAAGUAUCAUGGCUCCACAGAAGUGAUCCAGACUAGUCACGUGUUGCCACGUGUCGGUCCUCUGUCCCUGGCGAUGCCGAAAUGUUAAUUUUCCAGUAGCCGAGAUUCAAACCCAGGUGGCGGUACUAGUUAAUUUGAUACGUAAUAAGAAAAAGUAAACUUAUAGAAAACCCAUAGGACUUCUUCAAAAAGAAGAGAGUAUUCCGGUCGUAAUUACAAUUAUACGAUGCAAUUUUGAUGUCUUUUUAAUACACAACUAGAUUUUGACCCGCGCUUUGAAAGCGCGGGAUAAUAUUUUGAUUAAAUUUUGAUAAUAUUUUGAUUAAAUUUUUUUAUUUAACAGUUACUAAGUUCUGGUCUGAAUUUUAUUUUAUUUGAGUUUUGACAUACUUAACCGAGAGUAAUUUAUUUUAACUUUUCAUAGUGAUAGGCAUUCAGGUUUAAGGUUCGUCUCAGUUAGGGUUAUUCAGUUUUUAAGUUAUUGGGGUUGGGGUGUUAGGACCCGUUUAGGAGAACCAUGCAUUUUUUGAAUUAGAUCAAUUCGGGCGAUCUAUAGUUCGAGUCGGGUUUUUAUUUUUUAUUAAAACCGAAGUAAGCCGAAUUAAAAUAGUUAGGCUUUAAUUUGGAUUUAAAGCAAAAAAAUACAAAAAACGCAAAAAAAACCCUGAGUUAAACUGAAAACCAGGUAAUUCAUGUAAUUUGGGAGGAGGGGGGGGUGGAUAUUUUUUUUGGUAAAUUAUAUUCUAUACAGAUAUAAAUUAAGAGAAAAAGACUAUUAUAGCACCAAACUAAGUUUUUGUUCCCAAAGUAGCACUCAAGUCUCAAAGUCACAAAAAUAGGUUUCAUUAAAGAAGUAAAUAUACACUUAUACCCCUUGGGUUAAUUAAUCCAAACCUUAGGGUUUAGAGUUAAGGGGUGGGGUUUUGGAAUUAGGGUUUAAAAUUUUAUAAAAAAUAAAUUCUAAAAUAAAAAAUAAAAAUUUUAAAAACAGUUUCAAAAAGUAUUUUUAAAUUAUAAAAACAAAAUUUGAAAAAAAAAAUAAAAAAAAAUUUCAAAAAAAAAUUAUAAAAAUAUUGAAUCUGAAAACAUAUAAUCUGAAACUAUAAAAAAAAUUUCUUUUUAUUUUAUUUUUAUUUUAUUUAUUUUUAUUUUUUUUUUUUUGUUUAUUUAAUUUUAAACCAAGGGUAUUAGGGAUAUUUUACCCUUUAAUGAAUGUCAUUUUUGUGACUUUUUCCUUCUAGUGCUAUUUUUGAGACAUAAACUUCAAAAGGUGCUAUUAUUGACAAUUGCCCAUAAAUUAAUAUUAUAUUAUGUUUAAUAUUUGGAUACCCGUUUGAUUUUCAGUUUGGUUUUAGCUCUUUGGAUUUAGAAAAAUGGGAACCAUUCACAUUUCUGUAAAUCACGGUUACAAAUGGGAUGAUUAAAUAAUAAAUAAUGGGAUGAUUAAAUAAUAAAUACUUUCUCAAUAUAUAGUAUAGAUUAUCAUAUAAUAUGUAUAUAUAUAUAUAUAUCUGAAAUAAAACAUAAUCGAAUAUAAUUAAAAUAAGAAUUUUUCGGAAACUUUCAACUAAAAGUCUAUUGAAUAAUACAAUAUAUUUUAUAUCUUAGUGUUUAAAAUAUUUUAUAAUUUUAAAUCUAAAUAUAAUCAAUAUUUUUAGGUAUAUAAAGUGUAUUUAUUAUAUUUGGGUAUAAACCGUUCAGAUAUGUGUGAACACUGAUUAAUUUUUGGUUUUGUUAUUUUUUGUUUGGUUUCACUUUUUUUGGUUCUGUUUCAGUUCGUUUUUGGUUUUCAGUUUAUACGCUGAAGCAUAAAUUUGUUGGUAUAAUCUUUUUUUUUGUGCAUUUCAAAUAAUUGAUUUAUACUCCCUGAGUUCUAAAAUAAUCGAUAGUUUAGAGUUUGUUUCAAAAAUAUAUUAUUUAUCUUUCCAGUGUAUUUGUUACUAAAUAAUAAUGGUAAAUUGUAAACUUAUUUAUUGAAUUUUGAUUGGUUAAAAAUUGUGUAAAAUAGUUAAUCACAAAAAUAUGCAUUUAAUACUAAGAUUUAAUAUGCUUUAUUAUGAAAAUCUAAAAACAUGUAACAUUUUGAAACAGAAUAAGUAUUUAUUACUGUUGUCAUUUUUAAAACAGUGAUUUCUUAGAAUACAUGACUGGUUUUUUCUUGGAACAUUGAUAUCAUAAAAAAAUGUUAGGUAUGAUACUAUUUAUUCAUAUAGCUUACGCAUAGAUUUCUGGAACUGCACAAAAUACUAAUAGGAUUAUAAUUGUAGGAGAUUAUGGAAGUUCCUAUAUUUUGUGGAUGGUAAUAUUUUCUAAGAUACUAACAAAAUUCGUGGAGUUUCAAACAUGUCUCCAUAUUUACACCAGAUAUAAAUAUGGGAUAUAUUUAAUUUUGUUGGCUGAUCAAAGCUUAAACCAUAUUUCUCAUGGUUCGUAUUUAUCAUGUUACUCAUUUCAUCUAGCAACAGAUUCAAAUAAGUUGGAAAUCAAUGUUGCCUCAUCUAUAAAAUUUUGAAAAGUAUGUUUAUAUAUCAUUGUAGUCCGUGGAAAGAAACAUUGUUUCCUAUAAAGUUAAUAGGGAAGAAGGUUUAUGAGAAACUAUAAUAUAAACAAUGUUAAUCAUGGGUAAAUGUGAAAAAAAUUUGAAGAGAAAAGUAUAGCUCGAUCGCUUGUAGGUAAACCAUAUUUACAUUUUUUUCAUUUUUUUUCAACAUAUCAUUUAUAAAGCUCAAAAUCCAGGAAAUGAGUACAAAGUUGCUAGUUGACAAAAAAAAGAGUACAAAGUUGCUAUGUAAGAUUAAAAGAAGAGAGUACAAAGUUGUUAAGUCUAGAGGCCAGAAAUGCUUUUAAAACACAUGAGAACCACUAACCAAAUCUGUUUUGGUCUACCGGCGGAAGUCCUCCCUGAAAUCGAACCACUGGUGAUGUCUUCGUUUCUUCCGUAAGCCGCGAUCUUCCGUAGCCUUGUACUCCCAGAGCAACAUCUCUUUUGCUCAUAAUAAAUGCUUUUGGACUGAAGAACUUGACUCGCCAGUGAUCAAAACACAGGAAAAUCUGAUAGAUCUAAAGAGAGACACAUUCUCGGACCGCUCCCAUCGGAGAAUGCCAGCCUCUGAUUCUCACCUGGGUCAAAAAACCAACUCCAAAUCCAUUAAAUUUCUUCCAAGCAGAGAUAUUUUACUCAUAAGCCGAGCAAAGACCGAUACUCAUAUGAAAGAAAUAUAUUUAUAGCCAUAGAUGAAGCACAUUGAACAAAAGCAAAGCCUAACAAAAGCAGAUUAAAAUACUAAAUAGAUUCAAGAAAGAGAAACUAAAUAUAAUCCAUCUAAAUAGGGAAGUUCAUAUAUUAAACAUAGUUAAAAUAGACGAUAGGUAGUAAAUAUAGCUUAUAUUUUCGUCUGUAAAAAAAAGACGCUAAAGUUCACAUAUUAAAUAUAGUUAAAAUGGACGAUAGUUAGUGAAUAUAGCUUACAUUUUCAUCUGUUAAGACCAUCUCAAGAGAAUAACCAUUUUUGAGAUUGUUUGACUUCCAUGUAUGAACCACUUUCACCCGAACUCUCCAUGCAUAUUUGAAAGGUUUAACAUCACUCAAGUUACUGAUUUUGAUAACAGAAUUCAUAAGUGUAGAUCAGGGUAUAGAGCGUUUGAAGGUUUAGAAUGAUUAUAUUUGUUGUGUUUGAUUCGAUAUUUAUAUAUUUCUUAUCGCUAGAAAAUUAAUAGGAUAGUAAACAUAUUAAAAUUGUUUAUAAUUAGAAAUAUUCUAGGGAUAUAGAUUAUUCGAGAUAUAUUAAGUUACAACAAUAUACUAUUUUUGGUUUUCGAGAUCUAUUAAGUUACAACAAUAAAAUCUUAUUGUUAAUCAGUUACAAAAAUAAAAUAUUAUUGUUAAUCUCAUUAUUUUAUAGAAAUAUAAGAAUUUUGUAUAUACAAAUGUAUUCAAAAGAUGUUAUUUUUUAUACCCAACUGUUAAAAAAUCAACUUAAUAUUUUAAAUAAAGUCAUGAAUUUAAAAAAAAAACAGACCAUAGCUAGUUUAUAGUUUCGUCUGUAUCUGAAUAAGCAAUUGUUAGUGUUGAAGCUUGCAGAGAAAAGAAUUUUGAUAAUAUCAUGAAUUAUAGCCAAAGUAAAAAAAUCUAAUCAAAACCAAGCAAACAAACUAAAACACUAAGUUCGUGUAUAAAAUAUUGUAGCUCGAGGAACAUGUUGUCGUUGGUUUUGUGUGACCAACAUUUUCAAUUCUCGUUUGAUUCUUUGACCUUGUAUUCCCCUGUUUGAGUCAAAGCUCUAUAUUAUUAUAUUUCUCUGUUUUCUGUAAACUUUCCUCUAAAGCAUAGAUAUAUACAUAGUUGGUUUGCACGCACAAAUUUACAAAAACCGGGUUAACCAAAGGUUAUAAACAUUCGAUAUAUGUUAAUUUAUAUAGCAAGGAUAGGAAAGUUAUAUUUAAAUUAUAAUUACAAUGGUAAAUUUACUAAAGUAGUGGAAAAAGAUCACACGGAUUUAGGAGGUGGUUAUCUGAGAUUUAUGGAAAAUAAAAUAAAAAAGAAAACAUUUAAUUAAAAUCAUAGCUUAAAAAUAAUUUAGUGGCAAUGUCUUGUAAAUAUUGUUGAAACAGGAGGGACUUCAAAAAAUAGCCUUCUGUUUUAAUAGUAUUGAUGAUUUAGUUUUUUUUUUCGUUUCCCAUCAUCUAUAUUUAAUAGAUGUUUGCCCAGAAAAUUAGAAAAGUAUUGAUGCAGUGCAUCUUCGUCGGUUUACUUCAUCGGUUUAGUUCCAAAACCGAGUUGGGUUUUAUUUCAUUAUUUGUGUACGAUUUCAUGUUUAUCUCAUAGUUUUGUUUUUCCUUGUUAGAUAUUAGAUAGAUAAACGUCUGAUGAGUCGGUAGCUAGGGAUUUGUUUUAGCUCUUUAUAAAACAACACCAUAUGAUGUAAAAGAGUCACGUUUUAUAAUAAUAUAAUCCAGAGCUUUUCAAGUUCAUCUUGCUUGAUUUUUUUUUUUGACUAAAGUUCAUCAUGCUUGUUUAUCGCCAUUCUUGUAAUCAACGGUAUUCUGUGAGAAUCAACGAAUCUCUUACGAAGACUUACGCUGCUUAUAAAGUUGGAUAUCUCCGUUUGAAAUAAUUGAACAUGUCAGCAUGUACUCACUUCUAAAAUCCAUUGACUUUUGUGGAUUGAAGGCUGCAAUCAUUUACAUAAAAAUAGCUAUAAGCCAAACAUGCUUAUUAUUGAUAAGGGGGCCAAACAAGCCACACCAAAGAACUCGCAAAGAAGAACUUAAAUUUUAUUGACUCAAAACUUUAUUCAAACAGCAAGCACACAAUAUAUGCCUAUACGUAUGUCAUUGACACCAUUAUAAUUUAGGACCAUGUUUGCCUCUGGACCACUUUUAAUUUGGACCUCUAUCAAACAAUCUUAACAAAAGGGUAAAUUUCAUACCGAACGUUACAACUCCCACCCACAACUCUCCCUCCUUCUUUACCGUCGCAGCAGUUAGGAAGCUCCCCGAUAAUCCCAUCCAAACAUGCCUUGCAACUCUCACUCCUCAAGUCUCUCGUACACUGCACUAAUCCGUACAGCUUCUUUUCCCCUAGACUCUUCUCCCCUGUGGCAAACAGCUUCUGGUGGCCUCCAGCAGUUGCUUUCUUCGUCAGGUCAGUUAAAAUAGCUUUGGUCUGCGUGUUGAAUGAUGCUGGAUUGCUCACGUUGUUGACGUUGUACAGAUAGAACCUGUUCUCGUAAUCAAUCUUUCCGAAGAAAUUGGUCGAUGAAUACUUGACUAGACAGUUGUCGUACCAUAUUAUUCCUGCCUUGUUAUUCGGACAUCUCUUACGUAGCUGUCAAAUAACACCAACAUUAAAUAUACACAAACUCGAUCGUAUAAUACUCUUUCUAUUCCAACUCUAAGAUACCUUUGUUUAUUACUUCCUUUGUUACACACAACGUGUCGUUUAUAGCUAUUAUUUUUGUUGAAAAGAAAGUCUGACAUUUUCAAAACUCUCUUAUUCAAAGCUAAUAAAAUUUAACUUAUAUCAUAAUAUAGUUAAUAGUAUAUAUACUCCUGUAUCGAGUAAUAAAAGUUCUUAAAUAAAUCUUUUGUUAGUGUUCAAAAAGUUUUAAUUCAAGGAAUUUUUUUUUAACAUUUGAUAUGUUUGUUAAUUAAGGUACGACUAUUACGAUAUAGUUAUAUCUAUAUUUGUGUAUAUCCAUAUUUCCUAUUCUACAUCUUUACAUUAUUCCAAUUAGGUUUAGGAGAUAUGCUUAUGCUUCUGAGAUGUACCCACAACAUAUAAAUGUAUUUAAAUACAAUAUAGUAAGAUUACCUCGGGGAUGGCUGUUGCCAGACAGGUUCGGCAGUCAGAAGGGGAGGCGUCGCCGCGGCAUAGGCCCAAACCAUUGACGUUGUCAGGUUUGUUACCAGUCGAGAGAGCGGCAAAACCGCUUGAUGGAACACUGUAAGAGAGACGAGGAAAGAGACUGUUGAGGUUUGACUCGUACGGACUCCUCGAAGUGAAGUUCCCUUCAAUGUCAGAACACUUGUGGUAGAGGAACGCAUUGUCCUGACUUUGGGACAAAACGCUGUGUAUAAAGAGAAGUUGUAUGGCUAAAGCCAACAGAGAGAGUGAAACGCUGCGUUUAGACGAGGAGGAUGAAGACAUUGUUUUAGGAAUGUCGAUACUAGUUUUUUUUCUGGUAGGAGUAAUGUUGAGGUUCAUAUGGAUUAUAUAGUGCUGCUGAAUGAUCGUCGGUUUUGGGUGGUCUUUAAGUUAUUUAUUUAAUAAUAUUAUUAGAAGAGUUGAAGUGUUCAGUUUUGUACGGUUUGGAUUAGGGCGUAUUCAAAGCUUGAGAAUGGAUGUUUCUUUUCAACCAAAAAGUCAAUUUAGAUGAUUUGGCCUCAUCAGAUUCUAGAAUAAAAUAAAAAUGUGACGGUGAUGAAAAAGGGAGUUGACGCUUGGUAUUGAGGCCACGAGUGGGUCGAUGAACAUUCAAAACUUUGACUAAGUGUAACUCUUAAUACGUCCGGUGCCAACCUAACUUGAUGACAUACUAAACGAUGUUGAGGAUGUGUGUUGUUGACUUUCUAGAAACGAAUUUUUAUAGGGACACAGCAUAAAAUAUAGAGAAUAUAUAUAUGUAUCUUUUUUUUUAUCAAAAGUAUAAAAGUAUUUUAAUUCAUUUUUUUGGUCAUUUAUAUAAAACCAUAGAAACUUGAUAAACCAAUAAUGUAUAUCUAUCUAUAUAUUAUUAUAAAAGAGGAUUGAUCUCUCCAGGUGAAGCCACGUAGGCGGACACGUCAUAAAGUCGGCUUCUAUAAACAUGACAUGUAUCCUCUAAUUUAAAACGUUCCGUUUCACUAAUUUUGUGUUUCGGGGUGAUUUGAGCUUUAUUUAGAUAGACGUACAUUUCGUGGAAGUCCAUAUUUCGUUCGUUUGUUUUUUGUAUUGAUUUUACUAGUGGACUUGAAUUUUUUUUACGGAUAGGCUUUGAUUUACAUUAUUUGGGCUAAAAAUCAACAAAAAAGUAUUUCAUUUCACGCUCCUAUCCUCUUCUUACCUUCUCUUUAUCACGAGCGUUGAUCAUUGGUUUCUAGGGUUCAUCCUCUACUGCAAUCUCUGGUUAUGUCAACCAACGAUGGUGGUUUUUAAAGGUUUAGAGAAAUGAAACUUCCUGAGUAAUCAAUGCUUCAAUUUAGGUUCGUGUCGUUUAGUCUUAGAUUCAUCUUCUCCAAUACGUUACCGGAAGUAUUGAUGCAUUGCCAUUAACAACCAUUUCACAUUCAGUGCUUUUUAUCUGAGAAAGGCGGUGAAAUCUAUUAUUAUAAAAAAAGGUUUGAUCUCUCCUGGUGAAGUCACGUAGGUACACGUCAUAAAGUCGGCUUCUAUAAACAUGACAAGUGUCCUCUGAUUUAAAACGUUCCGUUUCGUUUCAUUAAGUUUUGUGUUUCGAGGUGAUUUGGGCUUUAUUUAGAUAGACGUACAUUUCGUGAAAGUCCGCAUUUCGUUUGUUUAUUUUGUCUAUUGAUUUUACGAGUGGGCUUGGAUUUUUUUUAUAGAUGGGCUUUGAUUUACAUUAUUUGGACUAAAAAUCAACGAAAAAGUAUCUCAUUUCAUGCUCCUAUCCUCUUCUCUCAUUCUCUUCUUCACGAGCGUUGAUCAUUGGUUUCUAGGAUUCAUCCUCUACUGCAAUCUCUGAUUAUGUCAACCAACGAUGGCGGUUUUGAAAGGUUUAGUGAGACUAAACUUCCUGAGUAAUCAAUGCUUCAAUUUAGGUUCGUGUCGUUUAGUCUAAGAUUUGUCUUCUCCAAUACGUUACCGGAAGUAUUGAUGCAUUGCCAUUAACAACCAUUUCACAUUCAGUGCUUCUUAUCUGAGAAAGGCGGUGAAAUCUAUUAUUAUAAAAAGGGUUUGAUCUCUCCUGGUGAAUCUACGUAGGUACACGUCAUAAAGUCGACUUCCAUAAACAUGACAUGUGUCCUCUGAUUUAAAACGUUCCGUUCCAAUAAGUUUUGUGUUUCAGGGUGAUUUGGGCUCUAUUUAGAAAGACGUGCAUUUCGUGGAAGUCUAUAUUUCGUUCGUUUGAUUUUACGAGUGGGCUUGGAUUUUUUUUACGGAUGGGAUUUGAUUUACACUAUUUGGGCUUAAAAUCAAUGAAAGGGUAUCUCAUUUCACGCUUCUAUCCUCUUCUCACCGUCUCUUGUUCAUGAGCGUCAAUCAUUGGUUUCUAGGGUUCAUCCUCUACUGCAGUCUCUGAUUAUUUCAACCAAAGAUGGCGGUUUUGAAAGGUUUAGUGAGAUGAAACUUUAUGGUAAUCAAUGCUUCAAUUUAAGUUUUGUCGUUUAGUCUAAGAUUCAUCUUCUCCAAUACGUUACCGGAAGUAUUGAUGCAUUCCCAUUAACAACCAUUUCACAUCCAAUGCUUCUUAUCUGAGAAAGACAGUGGAAUCUAUUAUUAUAAAAAUGGGUUUCAUCUCUUCUGGUAAAACCAUGUAGGUACACGUCAUAAAGUCGACUUCUAUAAACAUGACACGGUCCUUUGAUUUAAAACAUUCUGUUUCAUUAAGUUUUGUGCAUGCUUCGAGGUGAUUUGGGCUUUAUUUAGAUAGACGUACAUUUCGUGGAAGUCCACAUUUCGUUCAUUUGGUUUUUGUAUUGAUUUUACAAGUUGGCUUGAAUUUUUUUUAUGGAUUGGCUUUGAUUUACAUUAUUUGGGCUAAAAAUCAACUAAAAAGUAUCUCAUUUCACGCUCCUAUCCUCUUCUCACCUUCUCUUCUUCACGAGUGUCGAUCAUUGGUUUCUAGGGUUCAUUCUCUACUGCAAUCUCUGAAUAUGUCAACCAACAAUGGCGGUUUGGAAAGGCCUAGUGAGAUGAAACUUCCUGAGUAAUCAAUGCUUCAAUUUAGGUUUGUGUCGUUUAGUUUAAGAUUCAUCUUCUCUAAUACGUUACCAGAAGUAUUGAUGCAUUGUCAUUAACAACCAUUUCACAUUCAAUGCUUCUUAUCUGAGAAAGGCGGUAGAAAUUUACCUAUAAAAAAGUAAGCUUCAUCGCUUGAACCUCAUCCUCACAAUCCCUAAUAGCACUGGAGAUUUCUUUUUCAAUAUAAUGGCUAACUCAUCUAUCCUAAUCACUGAUUUGAAGGCUGGCCUACAUGUUCUUCCAUUGUCGAGGUGCAACUGAUCAAGUUUUAAGAUGUAAAAGCAUUGUCUUCUUCUAAUGAGUUUCAGUGAUUUGGAGAAGAAUAUGGGUAGUCUUCAGCUUCCUCUGUUUCUUUUGAAAGCACACAUAUUCUUGACUAAUGACCACUAUAUCUGAAAAUUUUAUUAACAACACUAUUUUAUCUGUUGAUUGUACGUUCUCUCCAUCUCCUUAAUUUCCCUUUUGUACAUUUUUCAGUGAAAUUUGAUUUCUUUUUUUUUCAAAUGUCCCUCUUCAAAUUCGAUCUUUUAUCUGUUUAUUAAUGAUGGGGUUUUAGAAAAGGAAUGAACUUUGCAAGAAUCUUCACGUAACCUGAGUAAAAAAAGUUUCCACCUUUCCAUUUGUGGGGAUCUUGACAAUGGCAGGUAAGGAGUCAGAGUCUAGACUACGCCUACCUCUGAUCUUGACAAGAUUCUGGCCUGUAUGCACAGUAUGUCUCUACUCAAAAGCAAUUUUGUAAUUGUUGUUGUUUUGAUGGAGGCAUCAAUUUUACUGUCUUUUGAGGCCUUCAUGUUGGAGAGUUUAAUUUGACAACAGUGAUCCAGAUUGCUCAGCUUGCUUUUAAGCAUUGCCAAAAUAAGAAUCAACGCGAAAGGAUUAUUGUUCUCGCUGUAAGGUAUUCACUUUCUUGCCUAUUUUUCUUUUUUAAAAGCUAUCGAAUUAGAAAUAAUUUAUAUUGGGCGUGAUUGGUUGGGUUGUAACUGUAGAAAAUUUACUUUAGCAUUUUGUCUGUAGGAUUUUUGAUUUAGCUUUAAGUGAUGUAGUUUUUAAAAUUUCCUACAGCUAAAAAAUAGGGUUUUAGAAAAUAAGAUGUUUACAUCUAUUUUUUGUGUGUUUUUUCUGUAGCUUUAAUUUUUUGGUUGUAGCUUUAAAAACCAAGAUAAAGCAUGAUUAGUAGUAUUUAGGGUUGUAGAUGAAAAUUAAAGCUAAAGUCACUUCCUACAUCCCAACUAAUCACCCCCAUUGUUAACAAAGUAAUCUUCAUUGGAAAUUUCUCCUCCAAUAUGCUAAAUCUGAUGCAAAGGAAUGGAAACAAGCAGAGAGCAUGGGAGGGGAUGAGCCUCAACAGAGGAGAAGAACAGCUAAGGUGCAGCGACAAAAUCAUUGGAUUCUGUCUCCUCGAGACUGGAUCAAAUGCAACACUGAUGGGUCUUUUCUCGAUGAAAAUCUAAUGGAACUGCAGGGUGGGUUUUACGUGACAGUGUAUUAACAGUGAAGGUAACUAUAAAGGAUGCUCUCAAGCAGUGGGAAGGAAGGUACAAAACCCUUUCGUAAUACAAGCCCUUUUGAUGGCAUUACAACAUUGUUGGGCUCUCGGAUCCAAAAAACAAUUAUCACGGAGGGAGACAGUAAAAAAGCUGUUGACGUAUUAAACAACAAAAUGCUACUCUUUGAACGAGGGAGAUCAAAUGGUGGUCGACUAAGUUUGAAGCAGUUUCAUUCUGAUGGACUAAAAGGGAGGCAGACAAAGUAGCAGAUUGAUUAGAAACUACUAGGCCUUUAGACAAUUCUUUUAAAUUUCAUUAUCAUGUAUCACAAUAUAUCACUAGUCUUUCUUCAUGAAGAUCAUGUAUUCUCGAUUGCAUAAACAUAGAUGUUAUAAAAAAAUAAAUUUUAUAUUUUUAAUUUGUGAUAUUUAUUCAAGAUUGUUGAAUGUUUUUACUGGAGAUAAAAAAAGAAGAUAAUGCUUUUGGAUCAUAAUGUUGGACUGAAGAUAUACUCAAAAUUCACAUAAAUCCUUAAACUGAUACAUUAGUGCUUGACAUUGUAAACGAAAUAUAAAAAUAAAAGAUUAAGUUAGAAAAUAUAUAAAAUUUUAUUUUUAAUAACAAUGUAAUAACCUGAUUGGUAUUUUGAAAAGAUAGUAAUUUUAAAACAAAAUAAAAUUUAAUAAUAAAAAAUUAAAUAAGUUGUGCAUAUCUAUUCAGAAUAUCUUAAUUAUCAUUUUACACUGAGUUUUAAUCCAUAACUAUAUUUUAACUAUAAUUAGAUUGCAAUAUAUUGUUUUAUGUUUAUUGUUUAACAAAUGAUAUAGUAAAUAGUAAUAUUUUUCAUAGAGGUAUUACAAAAAAAAAACAUAGAAAUUUUUAGUGUAUUCAUACAACACUUUUAAAAGUUUUUCUAUUUGCUUCCUUAUGAAAUUUAUUUUGGAAUAAGAGAUAUAGCUUACUUAUAUUUCUUUAUACAUUUUUUAUUAUAGUAACAAAUAUAUAAUUUAUAAAAAAAGAAGAAAUGGUAAAAUAUGUAGUAAAAAUAGUGAAAAUUAUAAUUUAAAAUAAACUGAGAAUUUAUUAAAAUUUAAAAUAUAUUUAUAUUCUUUCGUUCAUUUGCAUAUCCGCCCGUAGGGCGGGUCCGACCCUAGUAUAAUAUAUAGUAAACAACCUCUAUCCAGAAAUAGUUUUGUUUCGUGAUUUCUGCAUUGGUCGAUUAUUAAUUGUUGAAGUAAAGUGCGACACAAUAUGAAAACCGAAACUUUAUUUACUGAUAUUAAUAAAUAGGUUAAAAUGAGUUCAACGCUACAAUUUUAAAACUGGAAUCCAAAGUCCAAACUAUCACAAACAAAUGUCUGUGCAACAGAUUACUAAGUGAAAGAACCUAUUUACAUACGACUACACAAUCAAUAAACAUUUUUUAUAUGAAUGUCAAAUUUAUUUAACAUAGGCUAAGAGUUGAAUUCCAAAAGGGAUACAGAACUCUAAGAUAUAGAACCAGGAGUUGAUGCAAGAAAGGAAGAGGGAGGGCUUGAACCAUAGUCCAUAGAGGAUGUGAGUCGCUAGGAUCAGAGAAGAAGUCUGAGGCAGAUCUCGGCGCUGAUGGCGGCAAAGGCAGGCGACGUAACGAUAUCUGAAAACUUCAAAAACUUUCCAUCUUUUUAUCUUCAUCUAAUUUGCUGUAAUUCUUAAGAAACCAUAUAUAGCUCUGUUCUUCAGUGAUCUGGUUACGAAUUGUUCUUCUGGAUUUUAUAACUGCUAAAACCAUAAGAAAUAGACUGAUCUCUGUCAAAGAAAUGGGAGAGAGCACAUUGUUGAAGCCUAAAGCAACAAAAUAGGUUUGCAUUCUUUUAUUCAAACAUUAUUUUGUUUUUUAUUCUUUAAACAUUCAUUAGAAAAGAGUAGCACUUGAUGUUACAUAAAAUUUGGACUGAAAAAAUUUAAACAAAAAGUAUAACAUUUAUUUAGCUAUUAAAUAUUUAGGACUGGCUUAGAAAGAAAAGGGUAAAACUCAAACCUAAAAGUACAGGUCCCACCCACAAAUCUCGCUCCUCGUGUAUCACUCAAGCAAUCUUGAAAACGCACGCUAUUAAAAACCAAACACUCCUUACAAGCUCUUAGUGAUAAGUCAUAUGUACACUGCACCAUUCCAUACAUCUUAUCACCCUUGUACAACGUCUCCCCCGCAGAGAACAUUGUGUACUCAUCUUUACCUCUAGUGGUGGUAGCUAAAGUUGUCAGAUUGUCCAUGAGAGUUUUCCAAGUCCUUGUAAAAGCGCUCUUAUCUCCUCCUAACUUCUUCGCAUUGGACAUACAAAAGUUAUUGUCGUAAUCGAUCUUCCCAAUAGCAUCUGUAGUAGUAAUGGCAAGAAGACAUUGGUCAUACCAAAUUAUCAUGCCCUUGUACCACGGACAUUUCCUACGAAGCUGUAAUAUAUAUUUUAAAUAUCGACGCCACAAUCAGUAAAGAGAUUGCACGAGACCAAAUAACAUAUAAUCAAUAGUUAUUUUUCUCUUAUGUAAUUAUUUUUUGAAAAAAGGAUAACUAAUCAAUAAGACAUUACCUUAGCGAGGGCGGUAGCAAAGCAGUCGUGGCACUUGGUCCCGUAGGAAUCGGCGCGGCACUGGAGGAUAGCGUUAUCAUUAUUCAUACCGGACAGGUAGAAACCUCUGUAACUGCCACUGUAGAACAUUUUGAUGAUAUUAUUUAAAUGUCUCUCGUAUUCACUUCCCGGCUUGUAUUUUCCUUCACUAACCAAGCAUUUGUGGUUGAGAUACUCAUUGGUCGUGUUUAAGGGCAAUUCGCUGCUUAUAAGGAGUAGUUGUAUGGCUAAGAAAUUGAUCAAAAUGAGGCGUUUUAGUACAGACGAUGAAGAAUACAUUGUUUUGGAUUAUUUUUCUCAAAGGGGUUUUUUCAUAGAUGAUUCGUUGGGAUUGAUGUUUAUGUAAGAGACUCAGAGGGAUUUGGAUACUGAACAGAUUUAUGCUGUUUAUAUAUAUGGUUUAUUGUUUUAAAGUGCCUUUUUACAAAAUUUGUUUCAAAAGUGCAGUUUGUGGAAUACAAUGUUUACACUUUGUAAGGAGAAAAGAGAAGAGUUGAAGGUUGAGACUUAUUUGCGGCGACAAGAGGGCCGACGAAAAUGUAAAAGUUCAGACGUGUGACUUAGUUCACACGAUUCGUACGUUGCCAACCUCAAAUGAAGGAAUUCAUUUCUUAAUUUUAUUAUGACCAUAUUCUUGCUUUUUUUAGGUAACAUCGUAUGGCCAAAUGGGAACCAAAAUGAGGCAUUUUGAUAGAUGACCCACAUGAGUACAUCGUUUUGUAUUUUUCUGAAAGGAGGUGUCUUUCUUUGGAUAUGAUUUAUUGAGACUGUGAUGUUUAUGUACGAGACCUGGAAGGAUGUGGAUAUAUUUUUUUAAAAAAAAUUGUGAGUUGGUGUUAUAUGAACUGCAGAUUCUUGAUUUCUUGGAAUUGUCUUUAACAGCUGUCGAUGCCAAGAUGGGAAGAUUUACAGAUAUUACGUAUGUCUUUUUCUCUGAAUUUUGUUAUGUUUAAGUCAGAAAUAGCUUGCUCCUUGGAUUUCGUCUCAGUCAGUGAGCUCAAUGCCAAGCUAUUGACAGAUACGGUGGACAAGAGGAUGGAAUUGGAUAUCUUGGUUUGUAGGAAUCUGAUCGAAGAUGCGUUAGAACGAAUCAAUGAUAUUGUUCCUUCCAGGGCUCCACCGUGUCCAUUUGUUCUGGAAGGCACACAAAGUCUCAACUUUUGCUUAAAGCAAAAUGUUUGGUUUAUUGAACUGCAGAUUCUUGAUUCAAAUCCUAGUCUUUGAUAGGAAAAUCAAAUAGUGAAUUGGGCGUCCUACAACAUUCAUCUGCUUCUAUUUUUUUGGUUAAGUGUGUAAUGAGUUUAUGUUCCAAUAAGCUGAACAUUUCAAACUCCUCUUCAUGGAAUGGACAAUACUAAGGAUCCUGAACUCAUGUCCUUGCCGUUGGAAAGACGAGGAUAAAAUUUUCUCGAGGAUGGAUCACAAAGGCGAGAGAAAUAUACUCGACAUCCAUGUAGGUAUCUAGAUACCUACGGUGUCGACCUGAAAUGAAGGCAUUGUGUCUCGAUCACGUAGCUAUAAUUCUAACUUUCACGUAUCACGGUCAUUGCAUUAGCUCUUUGCGAUUUUUUUUUUUUUUGUUAUUUAUAAACAUGGAAAAGAAAUAAAGAGCUGUUAUAAGUAAAGUCCUCUUAUGAAUCCCCUAUAUAUUAUUUGAGAAACAUUCCAACAUUUUUUUGUAGCCAUGUGUCAUCCCUAGAAUGAUUCUUAGAAUUCUUAGAGAAAUAGGUUGGUCCAUCUAAAUAUAUAAUAAGCUUUUUAUUAAACCACAAUAAAUACAUUAUUAAUGUGGUUCAUUAUUUCCUUAAAUAAGAUUACGGAAUUGCCUAAUGUGGCUAAAGUAUAUAUGACAAUUAAUGAUUUUGAAUUAUAAAUAUUUGAUAAAAACAUGUGUGUAUUAUAAUUAUAUUUGUUUAAUUUUAAGCUAUUAAAAUAAAUUAAAAAAUUAUAAUAACUAUAUAAUAAAAUUUUAAAAAAAUAUUUAUAUAUUAUAUUUUGAAUUUUUAAAAACGAGUAUAAAUUACUAAAACUGUUAAAACUUUCACAUUCAAAUUUUGUGAUCUAUGAUUUAAAACUUUUGUUAUGACAUGAUACAAAUAAUUAAAAAAUAAUUUAUGUUGAAAGUCUCAUUGAAUAAGUAUCAAAAAUAAAAGAUAUAUAAAUAUAUGUAUCAUUUUAAAUUAAACUAUAUGCCAUAUAAAAAUACAUAAAUACCUUAAUUUUGAAAUUUACUUUGAACAUUCUUUUGAUAAAAAUUUGAAAAAAUAUUGACAACUUAAUUUUUAAAAAUAUUAUAAAUUAAUUAAACCAUUAAUUUCACAGUGAAAAUUUUGUUAUUACUAAAUUAGACUUUUUGCUAUAACAGAUACAAAUGAUAAAAAAAAAUAUGAGCAAAAAGCAUCAUCUAAUAAAUAUUAAUAUUAAAAUUAUACCAUAUUUAUGUUACUAUCAUUUAAAUUUAAUUAUAUUUCAUAUCAAAUAGAAAAAAAUAUUUUUUUGAUUUAUAAAAUUUAUUUAUAUGUUCGCACCAAUUUAGUUAUAUAAGUAGUAGAUAAUGACUUUUUAAUUAUUCAAUAUAUAUUUAUUAUUUUAUAAUAUGUUAUAAACAUAUAAUAUAUAAAAUAAUUUAUAUAUAUAUAAUGUUCAUCCCGCGCAAGGCGCGGGUCUUAACCUAGUAUCAAUUAAAUUUCAAUCACAUGAUUCCUUCGGUGUCGUCCUAAAAUGACUGCACUAUAUAUAAGAUAAAUGGGAGAGAAGACAUUUAUUCAACAAGCAUAAAGCAACAAGAUAGGAGAGUAUAGUUAUCAUAUCUCUUAUAUAUUAAUUGAGGAUCUUUUAAAAAGUUAUAACCUAAAUUUUGUAAAAAAAAAAAAAAAAAACUCAUCAUAACUGGCACUUGUGUAUGCUUUCUAAAUCUUAUUUCAAAGAAUUCUAGAGCACCUUAUAUAAACUAUAGUCUAAAAAUUAUACUCUUUAGCAAAAUAAUGUUUCGCAGGCUAUAGUUGGUCGCAUAUAUCAAAUCUUUAUUGUUUCGUAUGCUUUCCUAAAAUAAAAACUACGGAAUUACCUAAUGUGAUUAAAAAAUAUAUAUAGCAAUUAAUGAUUUAAAAAAUAAAGAUUUGAUAAUAAUCUGUAUACUUUUAUCAUUUUUGUUUAUUUCUUUAUUAUUAAAAUAAAUUACAUUAUUACAUUAAUCAUAUAAUAAAAAUCUAGAUUUUUUUGUGUGUAUAUGUUGUAUUUUGAAAUACAAGGUUUAAAUUUUUUAAAACGAGUAUAAAUUACUAAAAUUAUUAAAAGUCUCACAUAAACUUUUACGAUCAAUGUUCAAAUUUUUCUAUAUUAAGAUACAAUGACUAUAAGACCAUAUGAAGAAAUAAUUUUAUUUUAAUAGGUUUUUAUGUUAAUAUAUAUAUAUACAUAUAUAUAUAUAUAUCAUAUCGUUUAAAUUAAACUAUACAUCGUCUGAAAAUGUAUACUUAUAUUUUGAUAUUUGCAUUGAACAUAUAUUGAAAAGUUAAAAUUUUAAUUUUGAAAUCUUCAUUGUUUUUAAAUGAUUAUAAAUUAUUGAAAUUAUCCCACAUUAAAAAAAAGUUGUUGGUGUAAACUUUUGUUACAUAAAUAUGCAAAAAAUCAGAAAAUCAUAUGAGUAGAAACUUUAUUUAAUAAAUAUCCAUAUUAAAAGUGUACUAUAUAUAUUUAUUAAUAUCAUUUAAAUUUAAUUAUAUAUCAUAUACGAUAGAUAAGAUUGAUUUUUUAUUUAUUUACCCUAAAAUGAUUGCGAAUAAACAAGAGUUAUAGUUUGAUUUAUAUGCACAUGCUAAUUUAUUACAUAAUAGUAACUGAUUUCUUAGUUAUUUAAUAUAUAUACCUAUUAUGUUAUUAUUUCAUAAUAUGCAGAAAAACAUUAAAAAUAAUAAAUAUAAAAUAUUUAUUCUGCAAAAGGUGCAGAUCUUAACCGAAGUAUGUACAUCUUUAAUUAUUUUAAAACAUAAGCAUUUUCUAAAUUUCAGGUCAAAACAAACAAACGAAAUGAGAAUAAACUUCAAAAUUAAUAUUUAUAUCGAACAAUAACCAAAAUAAAAAAGAGAAAAAUAUUAAAGAUAUAUAGGAUUGGCACAUGAACGUAAACUUCUCAUAACCAUAAUUAAUUUUUAAAUUCUAAAUCAUGAUAUAAAACCGAGCUGACAUAGUUUCAUUGUAAUCAAAUAGACCCGAGAUUUUUCGACCUAAACGUUAGGUUCUUAUGCGGUAGGCGGUAAGUGAUUUUUUUACCUAAAAUGUUAUUAAAAAUUGGAUCGGCUCAUCAGUAAACAAAUUAUGUAAUUAACAAAAAAUUAAAAAAAUUGUUUAAAGACCAAAAUAUUAAUUCAAUCAAGAAUAUAAAUUUAUUUUUCCGUAUAUUAUUUUUUAAUAAAUUUUAUAUAAAUUUAUCUUGCACAAGGCGCAAGUCUUAUCCUAGUUCAGUUAUUAUUUUGUUGUUUUAUUCUGUAAACAUUCAUUAAAAAGUAUCACUUGAUGUUACAUAAACUUUUGACUGAAAACAUUCAAACCAAAUAGGUUAAUAUUUAUUUAGCUCUUUAAAUAUUUUGGACCGGCUUGGUAAUAAAAGGAUAAAACUCAAACCUAAAAGUACAGCUCCUAGCCUCCUACCUACAAAUCUCGCUCCUGGUUAUCAUUCUAGUAAUCUUAAACACUAUACACUCCUGCCAAGCGUGUGGGGAUAAGUCUCUUGUACACUAUACCAUUCCAUACAGUGUAUCACCCUUGAACCGCGUCUCUCCCACAUAGAACAAUGCUGUUGGCUCAGUGUAAUGAACAUUACUGGUGGCUAAAGUCGUCUUAUUGUCCAUGAGAGUAUUGCAAACACUUGUAAACGUGAACUUAUCUCCCAACUUCUUCACGUUGGACAUACAAAAAUUAUUGUCGUAAUUGAUUUUCCCAAAAAAAUCGUAGGAAGUAAUCUCGAGAAGACAUUGGUCGUACCAUAUUAUCCUACUCUUGUACCGCUGACAUAUCCGACGAAGCCGUAUUAUAUACAUUUCAAAUAUCGACCGCCCUGCCGAAUGAACAACAAGAUCGUACGAGACUAAUUAACAUAUAAUCAGUAGUUUUUUUUGUCUUAUGCUAAAAUGUAAUAAAAAAAGCUUUGCACAGAUUUAUAAAAAAAAUUAAAAAUCUAAUCAAUAAUAUUGAUGUGACAUUCCCGCAGCGGCACUGGAGGAGAGCGGAUAAAGUAAACCGCCGAACAGAGUGAAACCUUGAUUAACAAUACUGUCACAUAGAACAUUCUGAUGGUAGUUAUUAAAAGUUCCUGGUACUUACUUCCCGGCUUGUAUUUCCUUGACUAACCAAGCAUUUCUGGUUAAGAUCUGCAUUGUUCGUGUUUAAAGACAAUUCACUGCUUAUAAGGAGAAGUUGUAUGGCCAAGACAUGGAUCAAAGGAGGCGUUUUAAUACAGACGAUGAAGAGUGCAUUGUUCUGGAUAAUUUUUCUCAAAGUGGGAUUUUUCUAGAUUAUUAGUUGGGACUGAUGUUUAUAUUUAUGGUUUAUUGUUUUUGUUUACCCAAUACGAAAUUUGUUUGAACAGGUCAGUUUGUAGAAAGCGAUGAUUAAAAUUUGUAAGGAGAAGAGUUGAAGGUUCAGAGACUUAUUUGCGGCGACAAGAGGGCCGACUUAUUUGCGGCGACAAGAGGGCCGACGAAAAUGUAAAAGUUCAGAGGUGAGGUGUGACCUAAGUCACACCGUCAUGAUCAUGAAUUGUGAUGUGGUUUUUUUUUGUAUGGAUGUAUUAAAUGCCUUGUGGUUCCGGUCUGGAAUCAUUUGUAACUAUAUCUCAAUUUAAAAUAAAAGAGUCAUUUACACCCGGGAACAGUUUACCAUUUUUCUUUUACACUGUGAGGCAGUUUCUCCUACUAAGGCAAUUUUUGGAUGAUAAGACCCAAUUUGACCUCUUAAAAGUGUAACUGAUGAUUUGGGUUUUAGUUAGAUGGAUUUUAAUUGAUUUUGGUGGGUCCGAGGUGAGACUUAACCUUUUUUCGUUAACUAAAGGUGAACUUUAAAAGUUUUUAUUUUUUUUAUAUCUUUUUUGGUUUCGUACGAGGUAAAAUAGAGAAACUCAGAAGCCGAAGAAGAAGAAGCGAGACUACAGCAAAUUCCGGCGAAAGAGAAUCUCAGAAAGUUGUUCGAAGAAGGAUGUCGAGGAGACGCAACCGGCGUCUUGCAACUAUGGCGUUUUGGAUAUAAUCUUCCAAAACUCAAAAUCAAAACUUGUUUUUUCUUGGUUUUUGGUUCUAAUGGGGUUAAUUUAUACUAUAGUUAUAAGUUAUAGAAGUAAAACGCAAAAUAAAUGAAGAUUCUAUGAUAAAAUCAUUGACGGUUCUGAGAUCUAUUCAUAGAAAACACUGAAAACCCUAAUAUGAAGAAGAUGCAAUUAUUACAAAAUUGCAUAACCGUGAGUUCAUGUCUUAACUCAUGUGACAAAUCCUCAUAACCGUGAGUUCAUGUCGCAGAGGAGGAAAAUCACAGCGAAUAUGGUUUGUUUACGGUGUGCGGCAAAGAGAAGAUGGUAAGAACGAAGAUGAAGCUUUGUUGUUUAUUUGUUCGUUGAGCUUUAUUAUUCAUUUUUUUGGUAAAAUGUUAAAUUAGCUUUAUUAUUCAUUUCUUAUGAAAAAAACGUAAUUCUUUCUAAAAAAAAUAGAUAAAAAUGUUAAGAUAUAUUUUUAGUUAGCAUAAUUAGAAAAAAAAUAGAUAAACUGUUAAGACAUUAGCUUUUAGCAUUUCAUAUAUUUUCUUCCACAAUUGAAGCUUUCAUUUGAAAAGGCUUUUGGUCUGUGUCCCAUUUAUUUGAAAGGAUUUUGAACGGCGAGCAACUCCCUUACAAAGUCCUUAUGGACAAACACAGAGAACACAAUGUUUCCAAAAACUUGUAUAAACAAAGCAGACAAAUCAAGCCUCUUCCUUUUUCACUAUGUAUAAAUAGUUACAGAAUAUGGUAGCACAGAUUCACACAGCUUGCAGAGGAUUGUAACUGAAAACUUGUAAAUUAAUGUAUACAAACUACAAAGGAUCACAUGAAACAUAACCUCAGUUUUGGCUCUAAAAGUAUGCUCACAACGACAUCUGCAGAACAAAAGAAAAAGGAAAAAUGAAAAUUUCAGCUCAUUCACUCUUAAUCCAAGGCACUCUACUGUUGUAUUUCAGCAUAAAGCAAAACUAUUUACAAUCUAAGAAACAAGAGAGACUCGGACCUGACUCAUUUCACCAUUAAUCCAAUUAAUCUUAUCGGCAUUAGGAUAAUUAGAGUAACACUCAAUCUGCUGACCGAGAACUUUUGAGAACUCUUCGUUCAUGGCAUAAGCUUGUGCUGUACGAGCUUGCGUAAAUAAGAGACGAGGAGGACGUACUUUCGGCUUGGCGAUCCUGAGAAUAGGAGAGGUUGAUGUCUAUCGGGGGUGAGAGAGAUGGGAGCGGAAGUGUCGUAGACCGAAGACAAAC